AUUUCUCUCUGUUAAAAUUCAUCUUGUUUGUUUUGGCCCAGUUCUCUAAUCUGUCAAGGUCGUUUUGAAGUGUGAUCCUGUCCUCUGGGGUGUUAGCCACCCCUCCCAGUUUGGUGUCAUCUGCAAAUUUGAUCAGGAUGCCCUUGAGUCCAUCAUCCAAGUCGUUGCUAAAGAUGUUGAAUAAGACCGGGUCCAAGACAGAACCCUGUGGCACCCCACUAGUCACUCUUCUCCAGGAUGAAGAGGAACCAUUGAUGAGCACCCUUUGGGUUCGGUCAGUCAGCCAGUUACAAAUCCACUGAGUGGUAGCAUAGUCAAGACCGCAUUUUACCAGCUGCUUUACAAGAGUAUCAUGGGGCACCUUGUCAAAUGCCUUGCUGAAAUCAAGGUAGGCUACAUCCACUGCGUUCCCUUCAUCUACCAGGCUUGUAAUUCUGUCAUGAAGCCAUUAAGAAAUUAAUACCCAUCACACAAAAUAGCUGAGAAUGAACCCCCCCCCCAAUGUGCCACCUGCAAUUGGGGCAGCAAAUUUGGGGGGCAUCUUUGCUCAACCACCCUUAAGAUCUGAGGAUGUGUUCUAUAACAGUUCUCCUCAUGUGGCCUUUGUGAAUUUUAAGCAUCCCUUUUUAUCCCUAGGUACCCUUUUCCUAGAUUUUUUAAAAGGUAAAUGUAAAAUAAAUGUGACUUUUUGGAGUGAUUGUUAAAAAGCACAAAAUUGGGGCAAGAUAAAUAGGAUGUAUGAAAUAGUUACACUUUUGCUUAGGCAUCUAGAAGUAAUUCAGGAAACUAAUGGAUGGGUUUGGCUCAAUGGUGCAAUCAGGCAUAGAAAAGGUCAAUCUCAUAGUAUGGAAAGCUGUGGCGUGAUGAAGCAAAAAACCAGUCCUGUGUGCUAAAAGAAAUCCAAUUCAAGAGCUUUCAUGGAGUUCUAGCCUAAACUCUCAUUUCCUGGCACCUGUGCAUUUUACGUUUCUAAAGAGUUGACUUAUUCUCUCAACUUUUCCCAUUCGCCAGGAAUUAAUUCAAUUUAAUUAGAAUAUCCUGCAUUCUAGUCAAGGCUGACCUAGGACAUUUUGGUGCCUGAAGGUGAAGAACAAGACAGGAUUCUAUCCAGCCAGUCAGCCCAGCUGCAUGUGCAGAAACUACCUGGCUCUUACUUCAGUGGUGGCAACAGGACAGCAGCCCCCCCCCCCCCGGUAGCAUGAGGUGGCAUGAGCCAGUCGAGAGGCCAGGCCAGGCCAUGGGGCACACGCAGUUCUGUCCUCCAACACUGGAGGAUAGAUUUGUCUGCACAGCAACAACCCAACGUCUUCCCCUGGACUUUUAUUCAAGCACGGGAAGACAGGGAGAUUACAUAGUGCAGACCACUGGUGAAUGUAAGGUAAGUGCACCCACCCAUGAAAAUUUCACUGAAAUUUUGUCUUCCCUUUCCAAUUUCAAAAUGCGAUUUAUUUUCUCAUCACCUGAUGGCAAAUGGUCAAAAGAGAGAAUUCAUCAGCACAGUGCCAAAUUAGCUGCUCUCUUCGAAGUGCAACCGAAACCUUGCCAAUGGAUAGCUAUUCGGGCUCAGAGCUCUGCUUCCCAGCUUCAAUCCACACUUAAUGCAAUGAAGAAAGAAUAAAGAAACCUCUUUUCUAGGAACUAAAGUGCCCCAGGUUAGUUAGUUGCAACUAUAGUCUAAAAAUAAAUGACAAUACUUAUUGCUUUGGUUAAUAUACUGUCUGCUAGCUGGCCUGACCUUUUCUACAUGAAAGCAAGGACUACGCUAGGGGAUAGUGGUAUUUGGUCUAAUGUAGAAUUUAUAGCAAGCAAAACACCUCUGGGAUAUGGUCACAUUUGACAACAGAAUAGUCAUGCAGAGAGGCUUGCCAAGAAUUGAAAGCAGGGCUGAGCUGAAUCAUUUAAUUUUCUUCCUAACAUGCUUUGUGGGGAUGAGGCCCAUUUUGGGCAUCUUCCAUGCUUGCCUCUUGACAGUUGUCCUCACCACCCAAGUGGUGAUGGUAUGUGGAAACCCACAAUGCUGUCAGUAUUUGAAAAAGAAAAGGUUCUGACCUCCUUUUUGGUCCUUUGCCUAGUCCUCAGACCUUAGUUGGCACAAAAGAGUCUUUGAGAAAGAGUAUUCUUGCAGAGUAUUGCUUCUUUUAUCCUUAAAAAGUCUUCUUCUCCAACCACGACCGACAACUUUUACACACACCAAACGCAAUCAGCUUUCUACCAUCCAACCAACCCACACCCAACACUUACAUUGACCACUCUAUAUAUACAGGUACAAUUUGGUGAAAGGUUGCAUGAGUCAUUGUAGGCCGCUGGCUCAUGCUGACUUAGUUCUUUUAGCAUUAAAGAAACAGCGGCCAAUUUUUAGCCGUGACACCCCUUCUGUUUCUUAAAUGCAAAAAGCCCCAACAGAAAACAAAACAUACAUACACUAUAAACAUAAACCCAGUUUUGUCAUCAAUUCAUUAUGACAUGUUGUUGGCAAAGGCUUGGUAAACAAAUCAGCAAUAUUACCUUGUGAUUGACAAUACUCCAGUUUGAUUACCCCAUUCUGUACACAAUCUCUAACAUUUACAUGGCAAAUAGCAAUAUGUUUUGAUGCGGAUUUCAUUAUUUCCGAGCCCGCUAAUGCAAUGCACGAUUGACUAUCUUCAUAUACCUGAAUAGGCAAAUCUACUUUACAAUCUAGAUCUGUUAGUAUCUGUAUAAACCGCAUGAUUUCAUUGCAUGCUAGCGACAGGCUCCCAUAUUCUGCCUCACAGGAUGAGGCCGCAACAAAUCCUUGUUUCUUUGACCUCCAUCUAAUUAUGGAAUUGGCAAACAUCAUAACCAUGAGUAUUCUGUAAUGACAGGGGGGGUGAACAAGUGAUUUAAUUUUUUUAGGUAGUUCUCAAUAUACUUGUACCCAGAAGAAUGAAGCCUGAGGGCAUCCUUACUCAAGAUGGAGGUAUGUUCCUCAGAGACCACAGCCCUACAAGCAAUCCUGUGUUGAUGGUGAUGUUGUCGGAUACAGGUUAUGAUGCUGUCUGUGCAGAACUUUAAGGGAACAUUCACUUGCAUAGGAGUAAACAGAUUUAUAAGGCUUAGCUCUCUCUUCCCAGCUGCUUCUACUCUUCUCAAAGUCAUAGUCUGGGAAAGGCUCCUGGGGCUGGGAUCUGGGGAAGGCAGGAGGGGAAAGCCAUUGCCUGGUGGCCAGAUGAGUUUCUCCCCCCUCACAGUAUGUGUUCUCCAGUUGUUAAGCCGCUUCCUGAUUGUUGCUGAGAUCAGGGAUGGGGAAACUUGGUGGCUCUGCAGGAUCAGCCUCUGGUGAUGCAAAUCUGGCUGGCAUUGUCCCUCACAUGACAUUGCAUGAUUGACAGGGGAGCUGUCCUGCUGACCAGUCAAAAGCCCUUGUGCAAGGUUCCCACGCACCCAGCAGCCUGCAAGCUGGUGAGCACUUGUGAAGUGCAGCAGAAGAGACAUUGCUAGCCUGGGGAUGUGCCAAUCGUAGGGAAAAGCACUUCUCUCUCCUCUUGCCCUCAGCUUUGGGAAGCACAAGACAAAAGCCUUUAUUUGGCUUGCACAUACCUGUUCCCUCUCUGGAAAAAGGAGCACAAACUGAGCAGGAUUUAAUGCCUCCUUGACAGGUGAUGGGGGUGUGUGUGUUAAACUUCAUUGGCUGAAGGCAAACGAGAAUCAAACGCUGCCCUCCUGCUCAUCAGCUGAUGGCACAAGGAAGUUUCUUUAGAACUGCAACCAUAAUCUUUUCCCCCAGAGGCCUGAUUUAUAACCUUUUAAUAUAAUAAUAAAAUAGCUUCUUAAUAGUUAGAGACACCCCUGCCCACUUAAUAUUCUUGUUUUUCUAUCUGUCAAAAUGGCUUUGUGCAGGAUUAAGAAAAGUGCUGAGCGCCUCACUUCUUCAAACUCAUCCAGCUUUUCUGUUCAGCCAUUUUCCUAAUCCUGUUGAUGUCAAAGUAUUCUGGCUUCUGCUAUUAAAAUAUAAACUCAAAGUGAAAAACAUAUAUGUAGCAAUUUCAGGACUAUUAUUCAACACUUGAAUUUUAGCUCAAUAUGCUAUAUAACACUUUAAUCUGACCUUAAUACCUUCUAAGACAUCCUGAUGACUGUGUAAAACAACCGUGGAUUCUAGCAAUGAAGCACUGCUGUCAGAAAGAGAGGGUGCAAAACUCUUUCCCCAAGAUGACGUCAGUGUAACUCAUUCAGCAGUUCCACAGAGUAUAUGAGCACUGCUUUAGCAAUAGGAUAAAAUGUCAUCUGUAAAACUUUAGCCAUUAGGAGUUUUAUACUCACUGGGAUAUUAUUUUAUGCUAUAUAGAGGCAAGUGCCCUCACCUCCACAUAUUUCAACGUGGCUUAAUGCAGUUUGCAAGGUGAAGGAGAAGUUCACACGGAGGGUUACAACCAUAUAGAAUUGAGAAUUAAAACAGUGAAAGCAUAUUAUAUACCCAGGAAUAGUGUGGGUCCUGACAGCACACAUCUCAGGUGCUGAAAGGACCUGCUUUACAUCCAGGAGGUCACAUGUUCAGUCCCCAGCAACUCCAGGCAAGGGUCUGAAAUCUUGGAGAGCUGUUGCCAGUCAACGUGGACAAUACUGGGCUAGGUGGACCAAUACAAUCUGACAGUGCAUUUCAUGCUUCUUUGUUGUCCACUGAAUGCAACUGAUGGGUGAGUGGGAACUAGUGACAGGUUGAGCUUUCCCCUUACCACACCUCAUAAUGAGUUCAUUUUUUUCUAAACAUGCCCUAAAUAUUUCCAUAAUUUUUGGAGAAAGUUUGGUAGUAUUGCUUAGUCCUCACUCUGUUUUCAGGACUUAUAAGCUUCCUGUUUCCUCUGCACCAGGGGAUGGACGCCUCUCCCAACACCACGGAGAGAGACAGACGGAGAUAAUCAGAAAAUUAUCCUCGGCUCUCACCUGUAGUUUGCCUGGUGGUCUGGCACUUGCUUCCCCAUGGAAUGUGAGGGCAGGCAAAGGCACUGGGUGCAUGGAGCACUCUGGCUGCCGCGACCCCUCAAUCCUGUUCAUGGAAACACAGGUUAUUCUGAUAAUUGAUUUUUUUUAAUUGGAGUAAACUACAGGUGUGUGCUAGAGACGGUGAGAUAAGAAACUGCAAAAAUGAACCCAGCCACAAGGAUUUAAGAGGUUUGGAUUGAGAGAGGAUUUCAUUCGGUGAAAGAGACAAUGGGAGGAGGGGAGCCUACGGUUUGCUUAUAUCAAAGAUUUUCUCUGCAUUUAUGAUACAACAACCUUCCCUGGAAUACAAGUUUUUUUUUAAAAAAAUAUCAAUACAAAUGAGAAAGGAAGAAAUUGGAAUAUAAUGUGGAAUUUAACAAAACUGGAACUACGUGUGUGAGAGAAAGGAACUGAGAGGGGAGGGGAGGGGAACACUACGCUUUGAAAAUAUGGAGCAAAGUCCUCCCUAACCUCUGUUAUCCACAAAGGAAUGUGUUUGAGAUAAGGACAAUUGGCCAUAAAUCAGCGGCAGGGAAGAAAGGAGUAUACCAGUUGCGGGAAUAGCAGCUUUUGGAUUAACUAUUUGCAAAAUGCAUACAAUAAGGAGGAAGCAUAAAAAACAAACGUGUACAUUGGAAGUAACAUACAAACAUGUAUUCCAUUAGGGAAAAUAUAAUUUGUACCAAAAUUUUGAUAAUUAAAAAAGGGGGGAGGGGGAAUCACAACUGAUGCAGAAAUGUUGAGAAUGAAAUUUAAGAUGGGGGUGUGACAGGGAUAAGAAUCUGAGAGAAACUGAAAUUGGCAGAUUUGCCUGUCUUUCCACAUAAGCAUGGGCAAAAUUCUUAUAUCAUUAAGCAAACAUUUUCAAGCAGCCUAACAUGUUAGCAAGGAGGGUAUUCUACCCUGACAACACAUGUAGCCCAUCAAAAUGCCCCCUGGAAGCAAUUACCACAGCUACAAAUGCAAUUACCACAGCUCUGUGUCAGAGCAGUACAUCCACAUUUAGUGUGGUCAAGUGUUUGUGAGGAGGCCUCAGAUGUCAAAAGAGAAUUGUUCUGUGACUCUCAAAUUCUCCUUUGCAACUGUCAGGAUUUCCAGCUUUCAAUAAGAUUUAUGAUCUGAACUCUUGGAGGGAGGUUUUGCCAAAGCAGCUGUGAUAGACUUUGUAGGAAAGUAUGCCCCCCACCCCCACCCCAAUUUGGCUUCUAGACUGUGGUUAAUGAUAAUUGUCUUCUAUAUAUCAAGCUGUGGAAAUAUUAUAAGAACAAACCUCACGACAAGUUUGGACCCAGACUCCUUGGAGGCAGAGUUCUCUGGAAACUAAGCUCCAAUAAGAAGUUAGUUGCACAUCCUGGUUCAUCCCAUGUGAGUUUGUGGUAACCAGUGCCUUAAGAGACAACAUUGCUUCCACACUCUGACAGCUGGUCCACUGACUUUUUAUGGGAUCAAAAGAGCCCUGAGGAGAGACUCUAGAACUGGUACCCCCACUACUUUGCAGGAGCCAAUAAUUACAGAAGAAUUCUGGAGCAUGAUCCACGAUGAAAUUAAGAAAAUAUUAAGAAUAUCAUAUAGUAAAAGGCCAGAGGCAUUCCUUUUAGGAAUUUUAAAUGAUGAUAUUCCAAAAGACAAAACUAAUUUUUUCUUAUACGCAACGUCUGCAGCAAGAAUCUUGGUGGCUAAAUACUGGAAAGGGAAUCAGUUACCCACUAGGGGAGAGUGGCUAUGUAAGCUCUCAGAAUACUUUGAAUUAGCCAAAUUGACAGAUAUAAUAAGACAAAAACCAAAAAGUGAAGUAAAAAAAAGAAUGGGAGUGCCUAAAUGAAUACCUCAAAAGCCAAGGUUCGAGGGCAGAAAUCUGGCUGAGUCUGGAAUAACCUUGUGAAGUGAAAGGACAUGAAAGAAGGAUUUAUAUCUAGAUGUUAGGAUAGAGAGGAUAAAGAAAACAGGAAAACAGGAAGACAGAAUGAGAGAUAAAGGAGGUGCUGUGGGAUUGGUGGAAGUCAAUGUCUUGUUGUUGUUGUUUUAGUGUUUGUAAUAUUAAUUUGUAAGAUAUAGAUUUGUUUGUUUUGUUUUUUGUUUUUGUUUUUUUAGUUUUCGAAUGUUGUUCUUUGUGUGUUGUGUAUUGUUAUCUUUUGAUAUCUUUUGUGUUGUUGUUGUGUGGAAAAUACUAAUAAAAUUCUUUUAAAAAAAAUUACAGAAGAAGGCACCAGCCCUUUAAGUGUUCAGAAAUAGUGGCACUCAAGCAGUGGGGCCUCCAGUCAAUGACUAUGUAGCCCUGUUAUAAAACGUAGCCAGUUAUCUCCUUGCUGAGACAGUAGGGAUGGUUGGAUCUCAGCUGCAGGACUACUAUCCAUGGCAUUGAACCUUGACCUCUCUCCGAGGUUCUGAUCAUUGUCUCAGCACCACUUCAUGAGUAAGGCUUCAGAACUAGACCUCUCCCUCUGAAUGUGAACCUCCCUUUUCAACCACAAAGACGAAGGUUUGCAGCAUCCAACUGUCUCCUAGCUGCCCUUCCCAGGAGAUUAGGAUUGCUCCCUAAAACAAUAUCAAGGACAGAGAGCAUUAAAGCAGUCAUAGAAUCAUCACAGAAAUGUAGAGUUGGAAGGGACCCCAGGGUCAUCUAGUCCAACCCCAGCAAUGCAGGAAUCUCAGCUAAAGCAUCCCUGACAGAUGGCCAUCCAACUUCUGCUUUAAAACCUCCAAGGAAGGAGAGUCCACAACCUCCCGAAGGAGACCAUUCCAUUGCCAAAUAGCUCUUACUAUCAGAAAGUUCUUCCUGAGGUUUAAUUGGAAUCUCCUUUCUUGUAACUUGAAGCCAUUGGUUCGAAUCUUAUCCUCCAGAGCAAGUGAAAACAAGCAUGCUCCAUCUUCCAUGUGACAGCCCUUGAGAUAUUUGAAGAUGGCUAUCAUAUCUCCUCCCAAUCUCCUCUUUUCCAGGCUAAACAAACCCAGCUCCCUCAACCGUUCCUCAUAAGGCUUGGUUUCCAGACCCUUGAUCAUCUUGGUUACCUUACUCUGCAAAUGUUCCAGCUUGUCAACAUCCUUCUUAAAUUGUGGUGCCCAAAAUUGGACACAGUAUUCCUAGUGUGGUCUGACCAAGUCAGUUUAAAUACCAGAAAUCAUAGCAGUAGAAUGAAAACUCGGCCGAGAGUGUUAUACAUUUAUAUCAUGUUCCCUCUUUUCUCUAAGAAGUCCCGAGCACUGCAACCUUUCCUCAUAGGAGAGUCUCUCCACCCCUUUGACCAUUUUGGUUGCCCUUAUAUAGUAAGAGUGUGACAAUUGGGUCAUUUUAUAUGAUAGUAUGCUAAUAAACAUUGGACUCCAUUCCAAAUCACUUUGCUGUAACUUUAUAUGGAAGUGCAGGGUGAUUGCUCCUUUCUAAUUACAUCACGUUAAGUUUUGUACUGUUGACUUUAAUGGCUGCUUAUUCAGUAAUGUUUGCCUUCUUUUCACAACUGGUACUCAUUCUUGAGCCUGAAAGUUUGGGAAAGGGUGCACUUACAAAUUUAAGAGUGUACUAAAGUCAACAAUCAACCCACCACACAAAAUGUCUAUUGCUCAGUUUAAAGAAUUCUGAAUGUAUAAUAAAUUUAUUCUGAGCUGGAAGAGAAACUGGAAGCUGCAGAGAAGAAACCUUUCCAAAAUCCAGGAAAACAUUAGACUGAAUUAUUGUAUUUUCCUUAUUGUCUUUAUUUCCCUCUAGGAACUUGCUGAAAAUUACCUGAAGCAGGUUUUAAUGACUACAUUAAGCAGCACUGAAGAAUCAACAUGACGUGAAUGUAAAAAUGGUGAAGAAAUUAUUCACGAACAUGUUCAUCGUUGGCUAAGUGAAGUGACACAUUUGGUUUAGCUUGAUGUUUUGACAUUCUCUUUUCUCUCUUUAUUUGCUUAGAAAAUGGUUUGGGCAAUCAGUGGUUCUCCAGAUGUUGCUGAACUACAGCUCUCAUCAUGCUGACCACUGGUCACACUGGAUGGGGCUGAUGGGGGUUGGAGUCUGGCAACAUCUGAAGAGCCACAGGUUCCCCAUCCCUGGUUUAGAACAAGGUGUCUCCCUUGAGCACUAGGAUAUUGGGGUAUAAUUUGGCAUGCAUGCUCAGGAUAAUAUUCUCAGUUUCAGGUUUGACCAUCAGCUUAAUCACCCCACCCAUUUUCAAGGAGGUCAGGAAAGAACUACAUGUAUCAAUUUAUCUUUUCAGGACACGUAUCAAAAAAGGAAAUUAGAUUCAUUUUGCAUUACAGUCAUACUUCAGCUCCCAAAUGCCUUGGGAGUCAAAUGUUCCAGCUCCCGGACGAUCGAAAACCAGAAGUGAGUGUUCCAGUUUUCGAAUUUUUUUUGGAAGCCGAACAUCCAGCGCAGCUUCCGAUAUUAUUUCCGGCAUGCCUGCACAAUUGGAAACCAAUUGGAAGCUACUCUGAAGGUUUCAGAAGUUGAACUGACUUCCGGAAUGGAGGUACAACUGUACUUGUUUUUGGGAAAGCCAUGCUGGGUCUUUGAAUUCUGGUGCUGGAAGAGACUCUUGAGAGUCCCAUGGACUGCAAGAAGAUCAAACCUAUCCAUUCUGAAGGAAAUCAACCCUGAGUGCUCACUGGAAGGACAGAUCCUGAAGCUGAGGCUCCAAUACUUUGGCCACCUUAUGAGAAGAGAAGACUCCCUGGAAAAGACCCUGAUGUUGGGAAAGAUGGAGGCAUAGCUGUCAAGUGUCCCUUAUUUGAAGAGACAGUCCCUUAUUCCAGCGCCAUGUCCCGCUGCUGUCCCUUAUUGAUGGAUGUCCCUUAAAUGUCCCUUAAAUGAUGUCCCUUAAAUUUCAAAGGAAGCAGCUUCCCUCCCUCCCUGCUGGCCAGGGAGGUGGGAGGCUCCAACUGUGUUGCUUGGCUGUGUUGCUCACCCAAUAAGAAGUCUAAGAACGACUGGGGGGUGGAGCUUGCAUGCCUUGUGUGUGGCUAGCUAAUGCAAGCUGAGUGGGUUUUUGAAUGCUGGACGCCAUUUUGUUGCAUGUGCUGCUGCAAACUUUGCAGUGCAAAGCCAGGCCGGGGAGCCAUCUUAAGUUGAGGCUGCAUAGGCCUUGUGGUGCAUGUGAUUCAGAUUCUAUUCAGUUGAACCUCUGGUUACAAAGUUGGUUGGACAGUGUUCUCGAAGCUACCAGCAUGAGUUUGACCAGACUGCAGGAGGACAGGAAGACUGGAGUGCCUGGAACAGGUGAGGCUGCAGGUCCCUUAUUUUGGCUGCUGGUCCCUUAUUUUCAAGGCUGCUGGUCCCUUAUUUUCAAAUCUGUAAGUUGACAGCUAUGGAUGGAGGGCACAAGGAGAAGGGACGACAGAGGACGAGAUGGUUGGACAGUGUUCUCGAAGCUACUAGCAUGAGUUUGACCAAAAUGGGGGAGGCAGCGGAAGACAGGAGUGCCUGGCGUGCUCUGAUCCAUGGGGUCAGGAAGAGUCAGACACGACUAAACUACUAAACAGCAACAACAACAAUGCUGGGUCUUAGUAAUCACAGCAUCCUUUUCUAAAUGCUUACAAAGUGACUGUUCAGCUAUCUGUUCUAGGACAUUUCCUGGUACUGAGGUCAAGCUGACUGGUUGGUAAUUACCUGGAUCUUCUUCCCCACCCUCACUUUUUGAAGAGGGAGACAUUUGCCUGUCUUCAGCUUGCAGGAACCUCCCUUGUUUUCCAAGAAUUCUCAAAGCUUAUAGACAGAGGCUCUGUCUAUAAUCCUCACAUCAUUUAUUCUGCUAUCACCAGGUUGGGCAACACUUUUCUUUUCUUUCUUUCUUUUUUAAAAUUUUUUAUUGGAAUUUUAUUUACAACAUAACACAGACCCCCCACCCCCAAUACACAUUAAACGUGAACAUAACAUACGGUGAACAUAACAUACAACAAUACAAACAACCAAAUAAAAGACUUCCUUUGUCCUGUAUCUGGCCUCCUUAUUUACUUCUUAUAAACUGUUUAUGAAUAAUUAUUUAAAAAUUUCUAAUUAUAACUUAAAUAUCCACAAAGUCUCCUGCAGGCAUUAAUCGAAACAAGGUAUGUAUUUUAGGGCACUGUUUUGUGAAGUAUUCUCUGCAUUUCCCCCAUGCUUUUUGAAACUCUUGUCUAGUGCGAUCUCUAAUUGCCUCUGUUAAUCUAGCCAGUUCAAUAUACUCUAACAGUUUGUCUUGCCAUUCCUUAUUUGUUGGCACAUUUUCUUUUUUCCAGUUUUUAGCAAUUAGGAUCCUUGCUGCUCCUGUGGCAUAGAGAAAUAUUUUCUAAUCUUCUCUUGCGAUACCUGUAUCCGUUAUCCCUAGUAGAAAAGCUUCUGUAUUUUUCAUAAAGUUAUACUUAAACAUUUUUUUAAGCUCGUCAUACACGAUGUUCCAGAAGCUUUUGAUUUUUUCACAGGUCCACCAAACAUGUAUAAGUGUCCCCUCCGUUUUACCACACCUCCAGCACAGAUUUGUUUUUGUCUUAUGCAUUUUAGCUAUUUUGGUAGGUAUUAAGAACCAUCUAAAUCCCUGCUUCUGCCAACCUAGCAGUUUGAAAGCACGAAGUGCAAGUAGAUAAAUAGGUCCCGCUCCUGCGGGAAGGUAAACGGUGUUUCUGUGUGCUGCUCUGGUUCACCAGAAGCGGCUUAGUCAUGCUGGCCACAUGACCCGGAAGCUGUACGCUGGCUCCCUCGGCCAAUAAAGCGAGAUGAGCGCCGCAACCCCAGAGUCAGCCACGACUGGACCUAAUGGUCAGGGGUCCCUUUACCUUUACCUUAAGUACCAUGUAUAAAACAUCUUGAUUAUGUUUCCCCUCAAUACUGUAAAUUUCCAGUUCUUUCUCCAUAGUUCUUCCCAUGCUGUUAAGUUAAUGGUUUUCCUAAUAUCUAAAGCCCACUUGAUCAUUACCUCCUUUGACCUCCCACUCCAAUAAUGUAUCAUACAUUUUUGAUAUUACCUUGGUUUUGUAAUAACACUUUUUCUAAUAAUGAAGGUUCGUUUGAAAAACCAUUUUUCUUAUCUGCCUGAACACUUCAUGCAAUUGAUGGUAUUGGAUCCAACCUGUAAGGUGUUGUUUAAUUUCCUCAUGAUCUUUAAUCACCAAUUGUCUUUUUCUUUAAUCAGAUCUUAAUAUGUGGCCCAUUCUAACUCCAUAUUUUUCUUUUUUAUUGUAAUUGUUUCUAGAGGUGAUGCCCACCAUGGUGUUUUCGGUUCUAGGAGAUCCUUAUAUUUUGUCCAUGUUUUAUAUAAUUAUUUCCUUAUGACAUGAUUCAUAAAUCCCCUGUGUACUUUCCCUUUUUCAUCAGCUAAAUACGCAUGCCAGCCAUAAUGAUAAACCCUUCUAGAUCUAACAAAUCACCAUCUUUUAAUACAAUCUACUCUUUUAGCCAAUUUAGACAGACAGCAUUGUAAUAUAAAUUUAGGUCAGGUAGCGCCAGUGCACUUCUAUGUUUUUUAUCUGUUAGAAGUUUGUGUUUAAUUCUUGGGUUUUUUGCCAUAAUCUAAGACUUCUCAUUCCUCCCAUUCCUUUUGGGUGAAGACAGAGGCAAAGUAGGUGUUGAGCAGUUCCACCUUCACUUUGUUACCCAACAGCAUUCUUAAUAAUAAUAAUAAUAAUAAUAUCUUUAUUGUCAUUGCCCCCUUCGGGGACAAUGAAAUUACUUGACUGCUCCAUAAAAACUCUAAUUAAUCAAUACAGUAUAAUACAGCAAGGGAGAUUAGAUGACUUUCAAAGUCCGGGCUUCCCAUUCAGGGCCGAGAUCGCUCUGGAGAAGAAGCUGUUCUUAAGACGGCUCGUUCUUGUCUUCAUCGUCCUGUAUCUCCGUCCCGACGGCAAGAGCUCGAAGAGACAGUGACCAGGAUGCGAUGGAUCUUUUACUAUGUCCAGUGCCUUCCUAUGGCACACUGGUGGCAUAAAUCUGCUCUAAGGUGGAGAGUGGGCAGCCAACAAUGCUCUCUGCUGCCUUAACAACCCUGCACAACCCCAUCCUGUCCUGGGUAGUACAGCUUCCGUACCACACACAUAAGCCAUAAGUGAGCACGCUCUCAAUGGCACAGUGAUAGAAGGCAAGCAGCAGUUUCUGCGGAAGAUGGUUUUUCCUUAGUAUUCUCAAAAAGUACAGUCUCUGCUGCGCCUUCUUCACAACCCCCCUUGUGUUGACACUCCAGGACAGAUCCUCUUGUGAUUCAAUGCCCAAAAAUCUGAACGUUGUUACCCUCUCUACACAGACCCCAUCAAUCAAAAGUGGCUGGACGUUGCUCUUCUGUCUCCUGAGGUCCACCACAAGCUCCUUUGUCUUCCUUGUAUUUAUGAGCAAGUUGUUAGCUCUGCACCACUCUGUCUUCUCCAUGUUCUUCCUCUUGCUUCAAACAUAGCUGAAGAAACCUUUUAAAAUUAUUUUAUUUUAUCAUAAUUUUUUAUUGAGUUUUCCAUAUUUCAUUUCAAUUCAAUACACAUAUUCACAACUUAUAUUCUUUGCUCAGAAGGAGCAUUGACCUCCUUCCCUCCCUCUUUCUGACUUCCCUAUAACAUUAACGUAUCUACUGCAUUCCCAUAAUCACUUCUUUACCUUAUAUCAGCAUUUUAAAAAAAACCACUCUCUCAUUUGUAAAUUAGCAUCUUAUUUUCACAUUACUAAGCAUUUCAUGUUAAAGCUACAAACGUUUUCAAGUAAAUACAGUUUUCUUUCAAAUAAUAAAUAAAUUUGCUCCAGUCCUUUUGAAAUCUUUCAUCGGGUCGAUUCCUGAUUUUCCCCGUCAACUUCGCCAACUCCACAAAUUCUACCAUCUUUAUCUGCCAGUCCUCCAAUGUGGGGAGUUUUUGCUGUUUCCAUCUUUGGGACAGGAGGAUUGUUGCUGCUGUUGUGGUGUACAUUAAUAAAUUUACAUAUUUUUAAUGAAUUUCUUCACUAAUUAGCCCCAGUAAGAAUGCCUCUGGUUUUUUUACUGAAAUUAUAUUUUAGUAUCUUUUUUAAUUCAUUGUAAAUAAUGUCCCAAAAGGCCUUAACUUUGGUGCAGGUCCACCACAUAUGUAGGAAGUUUCCUUCCUUCACCCUGCAUUUCCAACAUGACUUAUCCUGGCAACUAUACAUUUUGGCAAGCUUACUCGGAGUAAUGUACCAAUGAUACAUCAUCUUCAUUAAGUUCUCCUGAAGAGCCACACAUGCAGUAAAUAUGAUUGUUUUAUUCCAUAUUAAUUCCCAUCUCUCAAAAUCAAUGUUGUGCCCAAAAUCCUGUGCCCAUCUUAUCAUCACGCUCUUUACCUCCUCAUCUUUUGUAUUCCGCUCUAACAAUACUUUGUACAUUUUUGACACCAUUUUCUUUUUACUACACAACAGUUCUGUCUCAAUUUUUGAUUUAGUGUUACCAAAUCCAUUAUUUUUAUAAUCUUUCCUAAAGACAUAUUGCAAUUGGUGGUACUGUAACCAGUCAGUUAGUUUCCCUCUCAACUCCUCAAAUGAUUUUAAUUUUAAUUUACCAUUGACUUCCACCAAUAAAUCUCUAUAUGUCACCCAUUCCUUCCCCAUAUUCUUCUUUUUUACUGCAAAUGCCUCCAGUGGUAAAAUCCACCACGGGGUUUUGCGUUCUAACAGGUUUUUAUGCCUGUUCCGUACCUUAUACAAAGAUUUUCUGAUGAUAUGGUGCAGAAACCCUCUCUGCACUUUUACCUUUUCAUACCACAUAUAAGUGUGCCAUCCGAACCUGUUAUCAAAUCCUUCUAAAUCUAAUAUCUCCUCAUUAUCCAAUGUCAUCCAUUCAUGCAACCAACUAAAGCAAGAUGCCUCGUAAUAAUUUUUUUAAUCUGGCUGGCAGAAGCCACCUCUCUCUUUUACAUCUGUCAAAAUUUUGUAUUUAAUCCUAGGCUUCUUCCCCAGCCAGAUAAAUUUAGAGAUUCGUUUUCGCCAAAUAUCACAUUGCUUUGUUCCACAUAUAAUGGUCUGGAAUAAAAAUAACAAUUUUGGGACCACAUUCAUUUUAAUAGUUGCGAUUCUGCCCAUCAACAAUAAUUUCAUUCUAGUCCAAAUUUCAAGAUCUUGUUUUAUCUCAUUCCAUACCUUUUCAUAGUUGUCUUUGUAAAGGGUGAUGUUUUUUGUUGUGAGCCAUAUGCCCAGAUAUUUUACUUUUUUGCAGUCAUUAAUUCUGUUUUCAUUUGUGCCUCUUCUAUUUCCUUAUUGUCCAUAUUUCUUGCUAAUAAUUUUGUUUUGCUCUUAUUAAGUUUGAAUCCUGCUAGAUGACCAUAUUCUUCUAAUUUUUUCACUGCUUCAACUGCACUGCUUGUUGGUUGUUCCAGCGUCAACACUACAUCGUCUGGCAAAGCUUUAUACUUGUACUUUCUAUAGCCAAUUCCAAUGCCCUUUAUUUCUUUUGUUUCAUCUAUUUUUUUCAACAGAAUUUCUAAUGUUGUUAUAAAUAAUAAUGUUGAUAACGGGCAUCCCUGUCUUAUUCCUUUUGAUAUUUCAAUUAUUUCCGUAAGUGUAUUAUUGAUUAUUAGUCUGGCAUAUUGUUCUGAGUAAAUAGUUUUAAUUCCAUUUAUAAAUUUCGUUCCCAUGUUCAUAAUUUCUAAAUUUAUUUUCAUGAAAUACCAAGACACAUUAUCAAAUGCCUUCUCAGCAUCCAAGAACAUUAACACUGCUUGUUUAUCCCUUCUGGCAUCCAAAAAUUCAAUUAUACCAAUAAUGUUUCUAAUAUUAUCUUUCAGUUGUCGACCAGUCACAAAGCCAGUUUGGUUUUUCCCAAUUCUCUCUCCUAAUAUUUGUUUAUACCGAUUAGCUAGAAUACUAGCAAAUAAUUUAUAGUCAUUAUUUAGGAGACAGAUUGGUCUGUAAUUUUUAACUUGAGUCAGGUCUGUGUCAGGUGUAGGGAGCAGGGUGAUGUGGGCUUCUCUCCAGGUCUCUGGAAUUUUAUUUCCUUCUAGAAUAUUAUUCAUCACUUCCACCAAAGGUGCAGACAGUUGUUCCGAGCAUUUUUUAUCAAUCAACCUUUAUUACCAUCCAGAGACCCAACAAAUCGUUAUAAGGCAAUACACAAUUCAUACAGCCUACCUCCAGGUUAAACAAGCAUUUCGUUCAGAAUAUAGGGAUCAUUGGUUCUUGCAACCACCGAUAAAAACUUGGCCACUGCUAAUGUUCUAGCAUUUGUCCGGUCUUCCAAUAGGAACCUGACAUAGUGAGCCUCUGAUUUUCCUGGGAAAGGUACCAGCAAGGGUAAUAUCAGUUCAGCCCUGGCUUGCUCGUAUUUUGCACAGUGCAACAAAAUAUGUUUUAUGGAAUCGAUGUCUUGAGCACACGAGCAAAGUCUGUCCUGGUAGGGAACUCCUCUCAACCUGCCAUCUAACACUGCAGAAGGAAAGACAUUUAGUCUGGCUUUGGUGAAAAGCCUUCGAUAAUUUGGUACUGUCAGGUUUUUAAUGUAAGAUGUUAACUUAAAGACAUGCCCAUAUUGUACUCCUACUGCCAGCGGACUACAGACUGCGUGUGAUUGAGAUCGCAAGUCACUGUGUGCAUUAUCCCAUAAUCUUUGCUUUAACAUCUUUAAGGCGCCUUCAUAACUCAGGUAAUACAGUUGGGGGGGGGUGACAGACCAAUAGAGGUGACUUUUUUAGCCAUGGUUUUCUGCCAUUUGCUGACAAAUUCCUCAUUGGUCAGGUGUUGGUACAAACCCUUCCCCAGAUCAAACAUUGAAAUCCUGAGCCAAUGUUUUAGGGCAGCCCACCACGCUUUAGUUGAAAUUGGGCAUUCACCAGCUUCUAACAGAAGUAUGGAGUUGGGGACACAGUUGGGUACCCGCAGCAGAGAUCGUAUAAAUUUUGCCUGAAAGCCAUCUAGCUUUGGCAGGUCCCCAUUAUGCCACACAUUUGCAGCGUACAGGAGUUGGGAAACGGGUUUUGUCUUGAAAACCCUUAAGGCUGCUGGAACAUAUUUGCCGCCCUUUGUGAAAAAGAAUCUAAGUAUGGCUAGCUUUGUGAUCUCCGCCUUUUGAAGGGAGGUUUGCCAGUGGUGCUUCCAAGAUCCUGUAGGAUGGAAUGUGAGCCCUAGAUAACUGAAGUAUUUUAUUUGUUCAAGGUUAUGGCCAUCCAGCACCCAUUUAGACCAGGAGAAACUUCUUUCGAAAACUAAAAUUUUAGAUUUUUCAUAAUUAAUGGAUAAACAAUUUCUUAUAAUAUUUGGCUGUCAAUCUGUCUGUCUGAGCUUGCUGGGCAGCAGUUGAAGAAGGAGCAAAAAGGGUUUUCUUGUGUGUGUGUGUUCUUUGUGGCCGAUUAGCUGCUCUCCCUGUGCAAAGGUCAGAGGGGGCAGGGUUUCUGUUGAGGCAGGUGAUUAGCUGUGGGAGGAGCUUAUCAGAGCUUGCAGGGCAGUUUAAUCCAUCUUUUAGAUUUAGGGGAGCUAAUCUCAAACGUUUGUUGGGGGAGACCUAGGUUCUUUUUUGUGGGGGGCGUUAUUUGUCCUGUCUUCACGCUUUUUUUGAUGGAGGACCGCUGUAGCCACCCCCAACGACACAUUCUCAAGAUGGAGGGGGAGGGAACAACUGCAGUCGCCUGCGGUUCCUGCGCAAUGUUUGCCAUCUUGCCAAAGGUUGCAGGCAGCUUUACCUGCAGCAAUUGCAUGUUGAUUGCCCUCUUAAAAGACAAAGUCCAGCAACUGGAGGAACGUGUAGCUACGCUCCAAAGAAUUAGAGAGCUGGAGCUUUUCUUGGAAGCAACAGAGCACAACGUCUCCACCAAGGAGGAGACAGGGGGCUCCCCUGACAAGGAGGCUAGUACACCAACACAGGAGCCAGAUAUAUGGAGAAACGUGACUCAAAGAAGUAGGAGGCCCAGGGUUCGCUCUGAUUGUUUAGAAAUACACAAUCGCUUUGAGGUCCUCUCCCCUAGCAUGGAAGACGAAGAGCAGACUCCAUUUGAGGAUCUCUCCUCAUUACAGUCGAUCAGGUAUAUGAAGACGAGCAGCAAAGUCAGUCCUCAGGGAAUGUGCAGGCGACCUUGGAACGGACAGCUCACGGAAGAACCCCAACCAAACCUAAGAGGAGGCGUGUAGUGGUGAUAGGGGAUUCCCUACUGAGGGGAACAGAAGCAGUGAUCUGUGGGCCUGACAAGAUGUCUCGGGAAGUGUGCUGUCUCCCCGGGCCUAAGAUCCGAGAUGUAACUGAACGACUGCAAGGAAUCAUAAAACCCACUGACAAAUACCCCUUCCUCUUGGUUCAUGUGGGAACCAAUGACACUGCAAGCAAUAGCCUCCAGAAGAUCAAAAGAGACUACGAGGCUCUGAGCAGGAAGUUGAAACAAUUAAAUGCACAAAUUGUCAUCUCAUCUGUCCUCCCAGUUGAACGACGUGGCCCAGGGAGAGAGGGAAAAAUAGUGGAAGUGAACAGCUGGCUUCGCAAAUGGUGUAAACAGGAACGGUUUGGAUUCUUAGAUCACUGACUGCAGUUUCUUGAAGAUGGACUUCUGGCAAGCAUUGGGCUGCACCUCACAACGGUUGGGAGAAAUGUUUUUGCCAAAAAUCUCAGAAACCUCAUCAGGAGGGCUUUAAACUGACUAAUGUGGGGGAGGGAGACAGUGCUCCUGAAGGUAGGAGUCUAUCAAUUGAUGAAGACGAUCAUCCAAAUGUCAUAGACCAAAUGGAGCAAAUAGCACGCAGACCUAGUGGUGGGAGGAAAAAAUCCUUAAAUAAGAGACACGGGGGAAUGAUUAAUGGACUUCAAUGUCUGUACACUAAUGCGCAAAGCAUGGGAAAUAAACAAGAUGAGCUUGAGCUCUUGGUACAGCAAACUAAAUAUGACAUAAUAGGCAUCACUGAAACCUGGUGGGAUAAGUCCCACGAUUGGAAUGUAAUAAUGGGGGGAUACAAUCUAUUUCAGAGAAACAGACCAGACAAGAAAGGAGGAGGUGUGGCGUUAUAUGUCAGGGAUGUGUAUACCUGUGAAGAGAUCCAAGAUUUAGAACCUCAAAGCCAAAGUGAGAGCAUUUGGGUCAAAAAUAAGGGAGAGAAGAAUAACAGUGACCUCAUUGUGGGAGUUUACUAUAGAUCCCCAAGCCAAACGGAGGACAUAGAUGAUGCCUUCCUGGAACAGAUGGCCAAGCAUGCAAAAGGAAGGGAGAUAGUAGUAAUGGGGGACUUCAAUUACCCGGAUAUUUGUUGGAUGUCAAACUCAGCCAAGAGCAUAAGGUCAAACAGAUUCCUCACUGGCCUUGCAGACAACUUCAUUGUCCAGAAAGUGGGAGAAGCAACAAGAGGAACAGCCAUUUUAGAUCUGGUCCUAACCAAUGUUGAUGACCUGGUUAGUGGGGUAGAAGUGGAAGGAUCAUUAGGCGCAAGUGAUCAUGCUCUUCUGAAGUUUACUAUACAGCGGAAAGGAGCAGCCAAGCAUACUAGGACUCAAUUUCUUGACUUUAAGAAAGCCGACUUCAUAAAACUUAGGGAAGUGCUGGGUGAGAUCCCAUGGACAAUAAUACUAAAAGGAAAGGGAGUUCAUGAUGGCUGGGAGUUUGUUAAGAGGGAGAUACUAAAAGCACAACGUCAGGCAAUACCAAUGAGACGGAAACAUGGAAGGUGCCUAAAGAAGCCAGGGUGGCUAUCUAAAGAACUUUUAACUGAGUUAAGAUUAAAAGAGGAUGUGUACAAAAAUGGAAAAGGGGGAAACCACCAAAGAGGAAUUCAAACAAAUAGCCAGCACGUGUAGACACAAAGUCAGAAAAGCUAAAGCACAGAAUGAACUCAGGCUUGCUAGAGAUGUUAAAAGCAACAAAAAGGCUUUUAUGGGUAUGUUCGUAGCAAAAGGAAGAACAAAGAAACAGUGGGGUCACUCAGAGGAGAAGAUGGUGAAAUGCAAACAGGGGACACAGAAAGGGCUGAACUCCUCAAUGCCUUCUUUGCCUCAGACUUCUUCGAUAAAGAAAACAAUGCCCGACCUGAAGAAUUUGGAGCAAAUGAUUCAGCAAAGGAAACACAGCCCAGAAUAACUAAGGAGAUAGUACAAGAAUACUUGGCUAGUUUAGAUGUAUUCAAGUCUCCAGGGCCAGAUGAACUGCAUCCAAGAGUAUUAAAAGAACUGGCAGAUGUGAUCUCAGAACCACUGGCAGUCAUCUUUGAGAAUUCCUGGAGAACAGGCGAAGUCCCGGCAGACUGGAGGAGGGCAAAUGUUGUCCCUAUUUUCAAAAAGGGAAAAGAGAGGACCCAAAUAAUUACCGCCCAGUCAGUCUGACAUCAAUACCAGGGAAGAUUCUGGAGCAGAUCAUUAAGCAAACAGUCUGUGAGCACCUAGAAAGGAAUGCUGUGAUCACCAAUAGUCAGCAUGGAUUUCUGAAAAAUAAGUUAGGUCCGACUAACAUGAGCUCGUUUUUGACAGAAUUACAAGCCUGGUAGAUGAAGGGAACGCAGUGGAUGUAGCCUACCUUGAUUUCAGCAAGGCAUUUGACAAGGUGCCCCAUGAUAUUCUUGUAAAGAAGCUGGUAAAAUGCGGUCUUGACUAUGCUACCACUCAGUGGAUUUGUAACUGGCUGAUUGACCGAACCCAAAGGGUGCUCAUCAAUGGUUCCUCUUCAUCCUGGAGAAGAGUGACUAGUGGGGUGCCACAGGGUUCUGUCUUGGGCCCGGUCUUAUUCAACAUCUUUAUCAACGACUUGGAUGAUGGACUCAAGGGCAUCCUGAUCAAAUCUGCAGAUGACACCAAACUGGGAGGGGUGGCUAACACCCCAGAGGACAGGAUCACACUUCAAAACGACCUUGACAGAUUAGAGAACUGGGCCAAAACAAACAAGAUGAAUUUUAACAGGGAGAAAUGUAAAGUAUUGAACUUGGGCAAAAAAAAUGAGAGGCACAAAUACAAGAUGGGUGACACCUGGCUUGAGAGCAGUACAUGUGAAAAGGAUCUAGGAGUCUUGGUUGACCACAAACUUGACAUGAGCCAACAGUGUGACGCGGCAGCUAAAAAAGCCAAUGCAAUUCUGGGCUGCAUCAAUAGGAGUAUAGCAUCUAGAUCAAGGGAAGUAAUAGUGCCACUGUAUUCUGCUCUGGUCAGACCUCACCUGGAGUACUGUGUCCAGUUCUGGGCACCACAGUUCAAGAAGGACACUGACAAACUGGAACGUGUCCAGAGGAGGGCAACCAAAAUGGUCAAAGGCCUGGAAACGAUGCCUUAUGAGGAACGGCUAAGGAAGCUGGGCAUGUUUAGCCUGGAGAAGAGGCGGUUAAGGGGUGAUAUGAUAGCCAUGUUCAAAUAUAUAAAAGGAUGUCACAUAGAGGAGGGAGAAAGGUUGUUUUCUGCUGCUCCAGAGAAGCGGACACGGAGCAAUGGAUCCAAACUACAAGAAAGAAGAUUCCACCUCAACAUUAGGAAGAACUUCCUGACAGUAAGAGCUGUUCGACAGUGGAAUUUGCUGCCAAGGAGUGUGGUGGAGUCUCCUUCUUUGGAGGUCUUUAAGCAGAGGCUUGACAACCAUAUGUCAGGAGUGCUCUGAUGGUGUUUCCUGCUUGGCAGGGGGUUGGACUCGAUGGCCCUUGUGGUCUCUUCCAACUCUAUGAUUCUAGGAUUCUAUGAUUCUAUGAUUCUGGGCCUGGUGCUUUACUAAUUACUGUUUGUUUUAUUGCCAUUUUUACUUCUUCUAUUGUUAUCUUGGUAUUGAGUUGAAUUCUCUCCUCAUUUGAUGUUUCCUUCAAUUUAUUCUGUUCUGAAUAUUCUUCUAUUUUACCUUCAUCUUCCUUUCCUUUGCAGAAUAAUUGUUUAUAAUAUCUUUGAAAAUUCUUCUUAAUUUCAUCUGGAUUUUUAACUGUUUUCCCUUCAAGCAUCAAUUUCAUUAUCGUAUUCUGUUUUUGUCUCUUCCUUAAUUGCCAGGCUAGCAGUUUUCCUAUCUUAUUCGCAGAUUCAAAAUUUCUUUGAUUAAAAAAAUUAAUUUUCCAUUCUAUUUCUUGAUUUAUUAAUAUCGAAAAUUGUGUUUGUAAAAUUUUUAUAUUAGUUUUAGCAUAAUUAUAUUUAGGGUUGUUUGCCAAUUUAUUUUCAUUACUUCUUAUUUGUUUCAAUAUCUCUUUUUUGCUCUCUCUUGAUCUUUUUUGAAUUGCAUUCUGCUGUAUCCAAAAUCCUCUUAUUUGAUGCCUUUGAUGCGUCCCAUACAGUAUUGAUGUCCACUCCUUUGUUCAUAUUAAACUCAAAAUAGUCUUUCAAUGUUUUUUGUGCCUUUUCCAGUAUUACUUGAUUAUCCAGUAAUCCAUCCUUCAUCCUCCACCUGAAUGUAGUUUCUUCUUUUCCUUUCAUUUCCAUUUUUAUUGCGUUAUGAUCCAAAAUGGUUUUGGGGAAGAUUUCUAUUUUUGUUGUUCUUGUUGCCAAUUCUCUAGAAGUCCAAAUGUAGUCUAUUUUUCCAGCACUCUGGUUUGGUUCAGAAAAGUGACUGAAUUGUUUUUCUAAUGGAUGCUUUAAUCUCCAGAUGUCUAUCAAAUCAUUAUUUUCUACUAAAUUGAAAGAUGUUUUAGGCAGCUUCCCUUGAUUUGUUACCCUUUUCUUUUCUGUUCUAUCCAUUUCUAGGGAGACCACCCCAUUGAGGUCUCCCAUUAAUACUAAUUUUUGGUCCAUAUAGUCGAACAGUUUUUCCUCUAACUCUUUAUAAAAGUUCACUUUAUUAUCAUUUGGGGCGUAGAUACCCACCAUAAUCAAUUUUUCACCCUGUAUUGUCAUUUCACCUGCAAUAAUUCUUCCUUUAUCAUCUUUAAAUAUUUGGCGUUAUUCAUAUUUUUCCUUUAUAUACAACACUACCUCCCUUUUCUUACUUUCAUCUGCUGAUAUAUAUUCUUUACCCAGUCUUUUAUUUUUAAGAAUUCUAUUGUGUUUUUUCACAUGUGUUUCUUGUAUACAAAUUACGUCAAGAUUCUGUUUUGAUAAUACGUGUUCAAUUUUAUUGCGUUUAAUUUUAUUGUUUAAAACAUUUACAUUCCAUGAUAUUAUUUUCAACCCCAUUGUUGUCGAAAAUUAAAUACAAAGUUGUUAUAAUUUAAAUUUCUUUCUCCUCUUCUUCUUUUUCCAGUGGUAUGUCCUCUUCUUUCUUCCCCAGUUCUUUUCUGUACCUUUUCAUAAAUUUUCCCAUCUCUUGGGGGGAUUUGAUUUUGAAUUUCUUAUCUUUGUAAAAAAGGAUAUCCCCUCCAGGAAUUCCCACUUAUACCAUAUUUCAUUUCUUCUUAAAGUUAAGGUAAUGUCUCUGUAAUCUUCUCAGCAUUUCAGAAAUCUUUUUGGUGUUUCCUUGUAAGUUAUAAUGAAUUUUUCAUCUAUGCAUAACCUUUUUUCUCGAUUUGUUCUUAAAAUAAAGUCUUUCAUUUCUCUCGAAUUCAAAAAUACAAGGCAGUCACCAGACAAUUUUUUACCUCUUUCUGUCUUGUAUUUAAUCCUGAAAGCCUUAUCUAUUGUUUUCCCUUCUUGGUCUUCCUCUAAUUCUAACCAAUUUGCAAUUUCCUUUAUCAAUCUUUCCUCUAUAUUCUCUCUUUCCUGCUCUAUUACUCCUCUAAAGCGGAGAUUUAAUUCCUUCUGUUUCAUUUCCAUAAAGGCAAGAGCAUCCAUGGUUUCUUCAUGCAUUUUAGCUAGAUCUGCAAUCUCUGAUUUUAUUCCCCCCCCUCUUUUUUAUCUUCUCUAACGUCUUUCUGUGUGUUUUUUACAGUCUCUUCUAGGGCUUGUGUUUUUAUCCUGGCCUCUCCUAAUUGGCCUCUUAGUUCUGCCACCGAUCUAUCAUUUUUUCCCUCCAUUUUGUCAAAUUUGUUAUCUAAUUAUUUUGUAUCUUUUAUAUCUUUUAUAUCUUUUCCAAUUUCUGCUAGGAUCUCUGCAAUAUCUAAUUUAAGUUCCUCCUGUUUCACAUUUCUUCUAUCUGCUAGGGUGGCUACCAGUCCCUUUUCCCCUUGCGUACUCAUUUUAUUUAUCUGAUUUUCUCCCUCCCCCCUGCAGUUCCUUAUCUGGCCAUCUGGUGGCAUCUAUUUAUUUCCACUUUUAGUAUUCCUUGUAAUGUUAUAAGUUGCCACUAGGUGCUUCACAGGUCAGUACAAUACAGUCACAAAACAAACCGUUGUGAUUAUCUUUUUGGCCACUUGGUUUUAUCCAUAAAGCAUCCACAGAGAGACCACGCAAGAGGAGAACAAAGGAUAAUGGCGUCAACUCCUUCUAGGUGGAGCGAUGCUCUCUCUUCAGCUGCCAAUUCAGCCUAAUCCAAAUCACGAAAGUCCCAUCCACCAUCUUCGAUCUCUUCCCCGACCUAAUCCACCGUACAGCUACAGAGAUCUCAAGCCCCCCAAAAGAAUAAAAAAGGAAAAAUAAAAAAUAAAAUCCACAGAGUCACCAAAGGAAUGACACAUCAAAAUUCUCCGGAGGCCGCCAGGUUUUCCGGGUCUCCUUGAGCUCCUACGAGUUAGAGAGAUCUUUAAAAUCCCUCCCAGAAAUAUUGCCGGUACUGGAGAGACUAGAUACUGUUUUUCUGAUCUUUCUUCCUCCGUUUUGAGGUUUCAAGGUUGCGACGUAUCAAAGUUAAAUAGUUACUUUCAGCUGAGCCGGCGGUGUUCCCCCUUUCACAACACACUCAAACCACUUCUCAAUUCAAUUUUAAGAUUAUUAUUCUGCUGCAAAUAUUGUGUCCAUAAAGUUCUUUCACCAGCUAUUUCCUUCCCUCCCCAGCGGGUUAGAGAGGUUUAGCAAAUAAAUCAGUUAUUGUCCGUUUGCAGCAGAAAACUCACGUAUUUUUGUUUUUGUAGUAGAAAGCUUACUGCGCCAUUCUCACGCUAGCAGAGAGACAGACUCCCUUUUUACAUCUCCUCUGUCUUCAAAUCUGAUUGUCACCAAAUAAUUCCAAAUUUAUUCCUGCUUGCUUUGGAUUGUCCUUUUAUAUCGGGAAAUCAGCUGCCUUUUGCCAAUGGAACUCGAGGCUUUGCUUAACAGGAGUAGCGAUUACUCCCCCUAUGCACCCGUGCCUCUAUCCCCCUGGGCUUCCGAUCCUUUUUACAGGAUCUUUAGCCCUGGGAGAGAUAAGCCAGGGGUGCCGCUGAAUCCCCAGCACCCAAAACUCCCUUUUGGGGGUUUUUCCGGAGCUCACAGCGCCUUUGUGAAGCUCCAAUCUCCUGUUAAACUUGGAUUUUCCUGGAGAGGCUAAAUCUACGUCCGUAAUGGCUCCUGCAGCCAACCAGAAGUCCCCUUUUAAAAUUAUUUUAACCACUCUUGCAAGCCUGAGCUCAUUCUAGGCUUUGGCCUACCUGACUUUCUCCCUGCAACUGUUCCCCCUUUAUUCUAUUUCUUAUACAUUCUCUUCUUAAAUCUCAGCUUUUCAAUAAUAAUAAUAAUAAUAAUAAUAAUAAUAAUUUAUUUGUACCCCGCCCAUCUGGCUGGGCUUCCCCAGCCACUCUGGGCAGCUUCCAAAAAAUAUAUAUUAAAAUACUCUAAUACAUCAAACAUUAAAAGCUUCCCAGAACAGGGCUGCCUUCAGAUGUCUUCUAAAAGUCUGGUAGUUGUUGUUCUCUUUGACAUCUGGUGGGAGGGCGUUCCACAGUGAGGGCGCCACUACCGAGAAGGCCCUCUGCCUGGUUCCCUGUAACUUGGCUUCUCGCAGUGAGGGAACCGCCAGAAGGCCCUCGGAGCUGGACCUCAGUGUCCAGGUAGAACGAUGGGGGUGGAGACGCUCCUUCAGGUAUACAGGACCAAGGCCGUUUAGGGCUUUAAAGGUCAGCACCAAUACUUUGAAUUGUGCUCGGAAACGUACUGGGAGCCAAUGUAGGUCUCGGAAACGUACUGGGAGCCAAUGCAGGUAAUCCAGUCUAGCUGCCGCAUUCUGGAUUAGUUGUAGUUUCCGGGUCACUUUCAAAGGUAGCCCCACAUAGAGCACAUUGCAAUAGUCCAAGCGAGAGAUAACUAGAGCAUGCACCACUCUGGCGAGACAGUACAUGGGCAGUAGGGUCUCAACCUGCGUACCAGAUGGAGCUGGUAGACAGCUGCCCUGGACACAGAAUUGACCUGCACCUCCAUGGACAGCUGUGAGUCCAAAAUGACUCCCAGGCUGCACACCUGGUCCUUCAGGGGCACAGUUACCCCAUUCAGGACCAGGGAAUCCUCCAUACCUGCCUGCCUCCUGUCCCCCAAGAACAGUACUUCUGUCUUGUCAGGGUUCAACCUCAAUCUGUUAGCCGCCAUCCAACCUCCAACCGCCUCCAGACACUCACACAGGACCUUCUCCGCCUUCACUGGUUCUGAUUUGAAAGAGAGGUAGAGCUGGGUAUCAUCCGCAUACUGAUGAACACCCAGCCCAAACCCCCUGAUGAUCUCUCCCAGCGGCUGCAUAUAGAUGUUGAAAAGCAUGGGGGAGAGGACAGAACCCUGAGGCACCCCACAAGUGAGAGCCCAGGGGUCUGAACACUCAUCCCCCACCACCACUUUCUGAACACGGCCCAGGAGGAAGGAGCGGAACCACUGUAUGACAGUGCCCCCAGCUCCCAGCCCCUCUAGACGGUCCAGAAGGAUGUUUUGGUCGAUGGUAUCAAACGCCGCUGAGAGAUCCAGCAGAACUAGGAAACAGCUCUCACCUUUGUCCCUAGCCCGCGGGAGAUCAUCAACCAGUGCGACCAAGGCAGUUUCAGUCCCGUGAUGAGGCCUGAAUCCCAACUGGAAGGGAUCCAAAUGGUCCGCUUCUUCCAGGCGUGCCUGGAGUUGUUCAGCAACCACUCGCUCAAUCACCUUGCCCAAGAAUGGAAGAUUUGAGACUGGGCGAUAGUUGGCUAUCGUGGCCACAUCUAAAGUUGGUUUUUUAAGAAGCGGUUUAAUAACCGCCUCUUUCAGCGGGUCUGGGAAGGCUCCCUCACGGAGGGAAGCCUUCACCACCCCACGAAGCCCAUCACCCAGUCCUUCCCGGCUAGCUUUUAUAAGCCAGGAUGUGCAAGGAUCAAGGAGACAAGUGGUUGGUUUCACUCAUCCAAGCAGCCUGUCCACAUCCUCAGGGGUAACAGAUUGGAAUUGAUCCCACACAACUUGACUAGACAGGACUCUAGCACUCUCCCGCCCCGGCCCUGCUCCCACGGUGGAGUCUACCUCUUCUUGAAUCUGAGCGACUUUAUCUGCAAAAAACUUUGCAAAAUCAUUGCAGGAGAUCAUGUGGCCUGUAUUGGGCCCCGAUGGAGCAGGUGGUUCCGCUAAAUUGCGAACCACCUGAGUCUCCUGCUGCUGUUUUCCGCAGAUGCAAUAGAGGCGGUGAAGUAAGUCUUCUUCGCCGUCGCUAUAGCCACAUGGUAGGCUCGACAUUGAGCUCUAACCCGUGUCCGGUCAGAUUCAGAAUGGGUUAUCCGCCACCAGCGCUCUAGCCGUCUCAACGAUUGUUUCAUUGCCCUCAGAUCCAUGGAAAACCACGGGGCUGUCCGGGCUCCAUGCAAUCGGAGAGGGCGCUUCGGAGCCAGACAGUCGAUAGCCCUGGUUAACUCCACAUUCCAGCGGGCCACCAGGGAAUCAGCUGAAAGGCCAUCAACAUGGGAUAAAGCAUCCCCUGCCACUCUCUGGAAUCCAUUUGGGUGCAUUAAGUGGCAGGGGCAGACCAUCCGAAUCGGUCCCACCUCCCUGCAGAGGGGAAGGGUCACGGAGAAGUCCAGUUGCACCAGGAAGUGAUCUGACCUUGGCACUUCUUUCGUUUCGCUUUUACUUAGUGUCAGAUCACCCACAUCCAUAGAGGUAAACACCAGGUCCAAGGCAUGUCCGCAGCUAUGGGUUGGGCCAGACUUAUUCAGGGACAGCCCCAUGGAGGCCAUGCUUUCCACGAAGUCCCGAGCGGCCCCUUGUAAGGUCGUGUCGGCAUGGAUGUUAAAAUCCCCUAGGACAACCAAACUAGGUGUCUCCAGGAGAACAUCUGCCACAACCUGAAGCAGCUCGGGCUGGGAAUCCUUGGUACAGCGGGGAGGUCGGUACACCAAUAGGAAUCCUGUACUGCCCCUAUUGCCCAACUUCCAGAACAUGCACUCAGAAAACUGGGUUUUGCCAAUAGGAUGCCUGGUGCAGACUAAUGACUUCCUAAAAAUCACUGCAACCCCCCAUCUGCUUUAUCCAACCAAGUCUCUGUUACACAUGCCAGGUCAAAUCCUCCAUCCACAAUCAAGUCAUGGAUCACAGUGGUUUUAUGGAUCAUUGACCUGGCAUUGCACAGCAGCACCUUCAGGAAGUGUGGGUAUCCCUUGCUGAUUCCAGUAUCCGUCCGGUCAGGACCAGACCUGGAGGCAGGGAUAGUCCUCAAGCAACGACUAAGCCUGCUUCCUCGGUAAUGACAUGGUCUGGUCUUAGCGUAACUCCUCCUCCUACCUGUGAUAACUGAGAUCGGUUGUCCCAGUGCAUCCCCCCCUGUGGAACCUGCCCCAGCCAUUUUGAUUGCUGGGACCCAUUCCCAGGCAGCCCUGACCCCACCCCUUAAAAUAAAAAUAAAACCUAUACAAAAACCAAACCAACAGAACAAUAAAACACAAAAAACACAAAAAACAGAAAGUUACAAACACAACGUAUUUAAAUUAAAUUAACAUAAAUUAAACAAAUUUCCACAUCCAAGUAAAUACCCACCCCACCCCACACACCCGAGGCCUCCUUGGAGCCUUAUAAGCUGCAGUGGUGAGUAUGGGGCCCGCCCCCAGGCCCAAGGUGGAAAAUGGGCUUCAAGGGGGAGCGGUCCUCCCCACAACUCACGUCAGAGCAGCAGCAGCACUGUUCCGGGCCUCCUUGGAGCCUUAUAUGCUGUGGUAGACUAUGGGGCCCGUCCCCAAGCCCAAGGUGGAAGAUGGCUUCAAGGGGGAGCGGUCCUCCCCACAAACUCACGGCAGACCGGCAGCAGCUUCUUAUGCUGCCACAAUGGUUUCUUUAGAUGUCUCCCACUUUCUUUCUUUUUGGAAUUGUCUGCAUUUCACCUUUAAGAAACUCCCAUCCAUCUUGGACUCUGAGAAUUUCUGACCAGUAACUACUUAAGUUUUUUGAAACUACCCUUAAAAUUGAGUGCAUGUCUUACUACACUCAGCUUUCCCUUGCCCGUGUAACAUGAAACCCAAGAGAACAUGAUCACUUCCUCCCAAGUUUCCCAAUACUUCCACUUCAUUGAUGAUCUCCUCCCUGUUGAUGAGGUCCAGGUCCAAGAUAGAUGAUCCCCUUGUUGCUCCUUCCACAAUCUGGGUAAUGGAAUUGUCAGUGAGGAAAUGGAAGAAUUAAUUGAACCUUAAAUUCUUGGCAGAGUUUGAGUCUUCCAUAACUAUUGCUCAUUUUGGAAUGUCUGGAAAUCUGCUCUAGGAAGGCAUCAUACAAGUCUUCCAUCUGGCUUGGAGGUCUAUAGCAGACACCCACAGUAAGGUCACUGUUGUUUCUCUCUCCUACCUUUUAAAAAAAAAUAAUAUUUUUUUAUUACAUUUUCUGUUUUACAAUUUCAAAUAAACAUUUUACAAACUAUAAAAUAUCCAAUGAUUUCCUUUCUUCUCUUCCCAUGGUGCAUUCUGGACAUCUUACAUCCCUGCAUAUUUUACUAUAACCAUUCAAAUCAAUUUUCCACUAUUACAUCCAUCAAGAAUUAUUUACUCUGUUGAAUUUAACUUAAUGCUGCCAGAGUUUUCCACUGUACAGUUAUUUUCCAUAUAUUCAAAAAAUGUUUUUAAAAUCUUCUUUAAACGUAUGUUCUUCUUGCUGUCUUAUUCUGUAUGUUAAAUCUGCAAGUUGUGCAUAUUCUGUCAACUUGAGUUGCCAGUCCUCUUUAGUUGGGACUUCGCUCACUUUCCAUUUUGGGGCUAAUAAAACAUAAGCUGCAGUUGCUGUGUGCAUGAAUAACCUUUUCUGACACCUGGGAAUUUCAGUCUGGGUUAUCCCCAGCAGAAAGGACUCUGGCUUUUGGGGGAAAGUAAUUUUAAACAUUUUUUUAGUUCAUUAUAAAUCAUUUCCCAAUACUCUUUUACAUGUCCACCACAUGUGAAAGAACAUUCCCUUCACCUCUUUACACUUCCAGCACAUAUCUGAUUCUGUCUUGUAAAUCUUACUCGGAGUUAGAUACCAUUUAUGAAUGAUUUUUAGAUAGUUCUCUUUCAAAGAAUAACAUGCUGUAAAUUUCAAGUCACUUUUCCAAAGUUUCUCCUGGAGGUUAAAAUCUAUGUUGUGUCCUAUAUUUAUUGCCCAGUGCAUCACUGAGGCUUUAACUAGCUCUUGUUUUGUUUUGCAUUCUAAAACAGGUUAUACAUUUUAGGCAAAAGUUUAUCUUUGUUUUGCAGGAGUUCUUUUUCUGAAUUGUGAACUUCGGUCCAAAAAACCAUUCUUUCUAUCUAAUUAAAACAUAUCAUAUAACUGAUGAUAUUGCAACUCUCUCCUACAAUUUUACUCAUAUUCUCUCAAACUUCCUUCCCUGCUCUAAGCCAUGGAUCUCUUCACAAGUAUACAAAUAUUUUACAUAUAAUUUUGCUACUCCUUCCUUCCUGUUUGGUCUAUUCCUUUUGAACAAGUUAUAUCCCAUAAUUUCUACAUUCCAGUCAUGCAUUUAAUCCCACCAGGUUUUAUUAAUGCCUAUUAGGUCAUAUUUGCCAUCCUUGUGGUCCUUUCCAACUCUACAAUUCUAUGCCAAUAGUGGCUGGGGACAAGAGCAAAAGAGGGUGGAACAAUUAAUGUAAAUUUAACUUUUGCACAGUAGGCCAGUUUGUUCUCUCAUCCAGACAACCCAGUAUUACUAUCAGAGUUCAAGGAUACAUUCCACCCAGGCAAAACCACUGAAGGAAGAUGUGAAGCCAGGCGGGUGAGAUGUUGUAUCUGGGGAGGAUCUGAGCCCUGAGGUGAGUUCCAAGUGCCAGUUAGAGAGACCUGCAGUACCACCACAUUUGGCCGCUGGGCCUGAGGUUCUCCACUCCUGAAAUAUAACAUGUCUAAAAUACAAGGGUAUAUAUUUAGCUGAAUUCUUCUCAGAGUAAACCUACUGAAAUUAAUAGUUGAUAGUUAGCUAUGUACAUUAAUUUCAAUGGGCCUACUCUGAAUAGGCUUAACGUUGGAUACAACUCGCAAGAUUUUUUAAAAUACAAAUGUAUAAAAAUUAUAAUCAGUCUAAGGUCCCAUAGCAGAGAUAAAAAUUAUUUAAGCACCAAGUUCUUCUAUGUAAAUUACACUGUAACAAUUGAGUGUUGAAGUAUCACAAUGACGACUGCUGUGAGUUCUGGGCCUUGAUGAGCAAUUCUGAGGUUAUCCAGGAGAUUAUCCAGGUAUCAGGACAGACAAGUUCAGAGUGGAGGGCAAGUCAGGAAACUGGUUUGAAGAACAAGCCAGGAUGGAAGAAUAAGCAAGGACGCAGGAACACACCAGGGCGCAACUAAAACUGGAAGCCCACUUAUGUUCAGAAAGAGUCAAUGGCCCACAUGGGUGAAUGGAAUUCACUGGGGGCCUGAAGGUACUUCACUGGGUUGUUGCCACCUGCAUUCAUGGGCCAGCUGUCCUCAGAAUCCAGACACUCCUGACAUUCUUCAUUUCAAGUUUAAAUGUUAGCUUAACUCUAGCAUCCAUUUUCAAGGAACAAGAGAAGAAGUGAAGGCUCACACAGAUUUACCAGUCAACAUUAUAUGAAAAAAAAUCCUACUUGGGAAUUCCUUCUUUGAUUUUCUGUCGUUAAGGGUGGGAAAUCAAUGAACUGUAUACCUGUAUAGGAGAAAAAACUGCUAUUGCCUUUUUGUUACUAGGAUGGAUAUAUAUAUAUAUAUAUAUAUAUAUAUAUAUAUAUAAAUAUGAAUGAAAUAGAAUGAAAUAGGAGAGAGGAAAGGAUUAUGGCUGUGAGUUAAUAAAAAUGUAAACAGGUGUGGAUCUUCUGGCAGAACUGGGACAAAGUCAAUGAAACAUCUCCUCUUUCUCUCUCCCAAAGUGAAAUUUCUGCUUGUAAAAUGACAGUGCUGCCCCUGUAAUCCAAAAGCCUCAAGAAAUAACUGGUAAACUCUUAGUGCCUUCAGCAGAAACUCUGCCUAAGGAUUUCCCAUAUGGUGUUUGCCAUUUAAAUGCAACCUUUAAUAUUUGAGGAAUAACUUGUUGCAAGCAUAUAUUUUAAUACAUUUUAAUACCAAUGGACAUGAUGACCAAAUAUUCAUUAGACUCAGAUGCUGUUUUAAAAUAUCUGCUUCUCACUUAAUUAUUUGGUCCAAUGGGUUUACAUUAUUUCUGAACCCUUCAGGCGGUGGUAUCAAAUCUAUGAUACUGGGUUUUAGAUUAAAAGUUUCCCGUUUAACAACAGGGUGCUUUUGUGAGGCAUGCAAUGCAGUAGAAUGGGCUUAUCAUUUAAUUUGAGGAUUUGAGAAUUGCAAAUUAGAAUGGCAGCCCAAACUGCAACCCAGUUGAGACGGAGUACUUUUAGUUUUUACCUUUCGUUGGGACUGGUUUAUAAACAGGGCUGUUGCAUAAGAGGCCAGUGGUGAGUCCCCCACUUCCUCCUCACUUUCCCCCCUCCUGCCCGGUCCCAUGACUGAUCAUUCUGGGCCCAGGAGGCAGAGCAGAAGGUAAGCAAAGGAUGCUGCUUCAUCUCCUCAUUCAAGUCCAUACCCUCCAACAUUUCUCCAAUGAAAAUGUUAGUAUGUUCCUAACAAAAAGUGGGACAUUCCAGAAUCAAAUCAGAAAUUGGCAUGGCUUCUCUAAAUCAGGGACGUCCCUGGAAACUUGGGACACUUGAAGGGUCUGCAAGUCACAGCUGGCAUGCUCAGAGAAGACAGAUGGUCAGACCCUGACAACCAAGAGCAAGAAGAGGAGCUCAGGAGGCUCCAGGGCUGGCAGUAGAAUCAUAGACUCACAGAGGUGUAGAUUUGGAAGGGGCCCCAAGGGUCAUCUAGUCCAAAUCCCCUCCAAGGCAGGAUGGCCAUCCAACCUUCUUAGAGACCUCCAAUGAAGAAGAGUAGGGAGGAGAAAAUCUGUCAGUUUUGUUGUGAUGGCUCCUGAGUAGGGGAGGCUGGCUGGGCCAGGAGAGAAAACAGGAGUGGCUGUCAGAUGACCCCAAGGCUGGAUCCAGUGGGCAGGAGUGGUCUCUACCUGAGCCCAUGGAAGAGCAUUCUGGAGGUUUUAGUGAGGGAAACUCCCGUCCCUUCCUUUACUAAGAAUAUAAUUCAUAUCAUUAUAAUGUAGAUAAGCAAAAUUGGUAUCUUGGAGAGAUGAACUCUGGCAAGCUCUCAGCUGCUAACGGUGCAAGUUUGCAACAUAUUUUGUCUUUCAGUAAUGUGCAGUGCUUACUUUUACAGCACUUAACAGAAAAUUUGGCUGUGUUGAUCUGUUCUUUCAGCAAGAGGUAGUUUAAUCAUAAUAAUUACAAUGCAGUGCUCCCCCCCCCCAUUUUGCAGGAUCAUUCAUCACCUGUGGAAGUGGAGGAUUUUCAGAAAGUGAUGUGACUGAUAGCUAGUUAUUACUAUUACUAUUACUAUUACUACUACUAUUACUAUUACUACUAAGAAUACUGCUGGGAACUGUGUUACAAUCAUGAUGUUACCCUCAGUCCCAUGGGACUAUUCUUAAUGUGGAAUGCUGCAGGGCUGCACUCACUUAGGGAGCUUGCUAAUGUUUAUGAAACUCUGCUGCUACUUGAAAGCAACAGAAAAGCUUUGCUACUAAAAAGAAAGGCUUUUGCCUUCUUCUGCCUCAUAUAUAUUCAUUCACUCAUUCUUAAACUUAUUACUCAUCCUUCCCCAGCAGGUCCAGCAGGGUGCAUUAAAAAACAAUUUAAAAUUCAGUAUUAAAAUUCAGUAAAAAUAAAUUGUUGUUGGCAUCUGCCUGUCUUGAGAGAUAUUGGAAUGUUCCUCUGGGAGUGAAGUCAAACUAGUACGUUAGCAGCACCAAAAUGACCUCCCUGGGGCACAAGCCUGGGCAGUGUGUCUGGAGGUCCUGGGCUGCCCAGACAGCAAGACUCCCCCCCCCCACUUCAUUGAUGUGGUCCAGAGGAAAGUUUCACAGCAGCUUGACUGCCGGAGUUGCCGGAAGGAGGCAUACAAGGUGCCAUCCAAUCAUGUCAUAGGGAGUCCACUCUAUAGCUUGCUGCUUGUGUGGGGUUUACUCCAUAGCCUUUUGUUCUCCUGAAAAUAUCCCGCAAGACAGUGAAGGUUUAGAAUCAGAGUUUUCCUUCUCCUAAAUGGGCUCCCUUCCCAGGCGAGCCCCAUGUGCCCCUCACUUCCCUCUACACACUGCUUUGUUCUUGAGGUCCGCACUGGCACACAGUACUGGCACGUCCCCUCUCCCAAUCAAAGCCUCACACGCCCUUCCCAAAGCCUGAGAAGCUUCUACCUGGCUUAAGGAAGGAGGCGCAAUGCUCUGGCAGGGCCUGAGAGCCCUCCCUUGUGUGGUGAGUACCAGCACCGUUUUUUCAGAAACUGCCUUCUUGACCAUUGGACUUAGUAAUGGUUUCAUCUGCUCAGCCUGCUGGAGCCUGUCUUCACAUGCAGGAGAAGGAAUAGGGUGAGUCCUAAAAACACAUGUCUCAUGUGUUGAAGGUCAAGGGUUAAGAGGUGGCUUUGCCAAAAGCUGCACAAGUGGAUGUGCCACGUGAAACUCUGUGGGGAGGAAAUUUCACAACUUAGAGUAAGAUACAUAAAAGGAGAAAGUUCCCCGUUUGGAGAGCAGCUUUGGCCCUACCCUAAAAAAUGAUGAAAUGAGUCUGAACCUAAUACAGCUGUAUCAUGACACAAUGCUGAGAUAGGACUCCAGGACACAGAUGGGGCUUCUCUGGUCUGUUCCAAAUCUGGGAAUAAAGGAAGUGGCCUUAUGCCAAAUCAGACGAUUGGUUUGUCUCAUUCAGUACUGUCUGUGCCAGAGUCCAGGGGCAGCUAUUGCGGCACCUGCCAGAGGUUGUGGACUAUAAUCCUCAUCAUCAAAACUGUUGCUGGUACUGGUGAACAAAGCCCUAUGCAACUUGGGACCAGAAUUCUUAAUAAAACCCAUCUCACCCCUUAUAUACCCAACUGAUCUCCACAUGUCUUAUCAGGAUGUUGAUUCUGUACAAUGUAAGAAUUGGGCCUUUUAAUGUGGUGGCAGCUACUCUUUGCAAUGCCCUCUCCUUAUGUACCAGCUGGGCAGUCUCUCUGCUGUCUUUUGGCACCUACUGUUCAAAGAAGGCUUUUAAGAGGAGAUCCUUAUUCCAGUCUGCAUCUGUACUGGAACUGUUUUUCUACAUGGAAUUGUCUUUAAAUGCUCGUAAUACAUACAGAAUUUUAAAAAUGGUUUAUAUAGGAAUUGUUCCAAAUGGCUUUUACAUUUGCUAUGUUAUUUGUUCACAGUCACUAAGUAAUGUUAUUUUUUAGUUAUUUUUACUCUGGUACUAUUUUGUAUAUUGAGACAAAGUUUAUUUUUGAAUGCUUGCCACUGAUUGUAAUAAAGAGGUUGAUGGGUUGGUUCAAUUUGUUUUAUGACAUUAUAUUUCAUAUCAUUGUAACUUGCUCUGGGACCUUGUGGUGAAGGACAGGUAAGAAAGCAAAUAAUAAACAAAUAAACAAAUAACUCUGCAGCCGGCAUGGUGAGGAAGGAUGGGAGUUACAGCUCACGCCAUUUGCCAGUCAUCACAUGGCCUGUUCCUGGUCUGCUAUGACUGGCAACGUUUCCCCAGGAUGUCAGACGGGAUCUUUCAUGGUUCCACCAAGGAUUGAAGCUGGAACCUCUGACAGCCAAGCCAUGUGUUCUAACACUGAGCUUUACCUAAAAAAAUAAAGCAAGGGAAGGGGGAAAAUACAUUCUUCAUAGGAAGCUGUCUCAUAGUGUUCACCUAGUAUUGUCCAUAAUGACUGGCGAUGGUUCUCCAGGAUUUCAUACAGGGAAGAUUUCCAGUCCCAUGUGCAAGUGCCAGGGAUUGAACAUGGGCCUAGGCACCAGCUAUGUGGGGCCCUGGGUGUCCGGGCACCCACAAAUUAUAAAUGAAGCAGCCUCCUCUAACCAGGUGCCUUUGAUAUGUUCUAGGACUGCAUCUCCCAUCAUCUGUGACCAUUGACCAUGUUGGCUGGGGAGCGGAUGGGAAUGGCACCCCAAAACAUCUGGAGGCACUAAGUUUGGGAAGGCUGAUCCAAAGCCUUGGGGAAAGGGGAGCUGAGCACCUUUGGGCUUAGGCAGGGAAGGUUUCCAAAGCUAAAUCCUAAUAUACAUACGUUUGUAUGCAAUUUUGCCUAAUGCACACAGUUUUGCAAAGCAAUUUCCUUAUAAUUAGAUGUGAAUUAGGUAAGUUUGAAAUCCAUUAAGUUUGAGAGCAGCCCCUAAAUUAUGGAACUCCUUCCCCACAGGGGCACCUUCAUUGUACAGCUUCCAGUGAAUGCUAAAGAUGCACCACUUUGCCCUAGUUUUUGACUCCUGAGAUGUAUAUUUUCAGGACCCACUUCAUUUCUGUGAUUGUAUGUUAUUUUAAACUGCUUUUAAUAUUUUGUUUUAAUGCAGCAACCUGCCCUGGGGCCUUAGGUUGAAGGUUGUUGUUGUUCCUGGCUCCAUUUUGAAUUUGAGUUUAUUUGGGAGUUAGGGGCUAUUAAGGAUAAAUGUUUAAUUGUACAUGGAAAUGGAAAAUGAUUAUGUAUCGCUAAAGGGAAGCUGGAACAUUUUGUUGAAACUAAGUGAGGCUCUCUGAGUGCCUAAUAGGUUGAUAAUUAACAAAGAAUGUAUCUCUGCUGCUCUCUCACAUGGUGUUUAACUUAGAUCACAUGGGAGGAGUAUUCAGUUGCAAAUCUCCAUUUUGUGAGAGCUCAGCUUUGUUCUGUGUGUGCUAAAGAGGUCUUUCCUGGAAAGAACACACCCUCAGACUGUAAUGGAGUCUGCGUGAAGAGAAAUAACUUUGAUUUUAGUUCAGCUUGAAGUAACUUCAUAUGUCUAAGAAGUUCAGCCUGUGCUUGGACAAGUACAUGAUUUUGUGCAACUAUUUGAAUGCAUCAUUAUUGUUGUAGGUCUGUUUUGGAACAAGUUCUGUUAGUAAAGCUUAGCAACCAUAUUUUUGGACUGGAAAAUUUUUAUUCCAAGAAGAAUCAGUUUUUAUUCAUCCUAUUGCUUACAUAUGAACAAUAUUAAUAACUGCAAUAGGGGCUUCUGCAAGCCACAAGAUACUCCCUCGCUUGUGUAUGGAUACCUCUACUUGUGUUAAGACCUACACUAAGAGAAUUAGCUUGCUAUUACAGUGGUAUCUCGGGUUAAGUACUUAAUUCGUUCCAGAAGUCCGUUCUUAACCUGAAGCACCACUUUAGCUAAUGGGGCCUCCUGCUGCCGCCAUGCCUCCAGUGAAUGAUUUUUGUUCUCAUCCUGAAGCAAAGUUCUUAACCCAAGGUACUAUUUCUGGGUUAGCGGAGUCUGUAACCUGAAGCGUAUGUAACCUGAAGUAUACGUAAUCCUAGUUACCACUGUACUAUAUUCCUAGCAAUAUAUAGUAAUAACAUCUACCUCACAAUUUGUUUUCAAAGGAAUCCUGGUUUUAGCUGGAUUAGCACACAUUAUUUACUCUCCCACUCUCACUUGGGAUCCUUUUAAUAAACUGUGCUGGUAUUUGUAGUCAAAUGUUACUCCUGCCUUCCAUUAGCAUGCAGAAGAUGCAGUAAACAAAGUCAUUUAAUGCUGGUAAAUAAUAAAUACAGCACAUUUAGCAACGAUGUCACUGGCAUGCCACAGGAAUGCUUACAUGGUUUUAUUUCAGGACAGGAAUGCCCAGAGAGAGACUUUCAGAAAAAGGUGGCCCAUUUCUUUCCUCCAUUUCUGUCAGAGGCAGCACAAAGAAAAUUAAACUGUCUGCAGAAAAUCAAGCCCCCAAGCUUCAGUUUCCUCUAAAUGCUACAUUUAUAGUGGCAGUAGGUAUAAGGAAGUGUGCAUGUUUUCUGAGUCACAAUUGCUUGUUUCAAAAGACCAUGCAUGUGGUCAGAAUGUAUCUUUAUCAUGCCCCCCAAGGGAUUAGCUCCUGCAUGUCAUCCUUAAAUGCUAGGCUCAAUUCCAAAUCUCAAACUGUAUUGGGCCGGGGGGGGGGGGCGCAGGAUCCAGGCUUAGGCUGAGUGGGCCCUGAGUGGGUCCUGGAUUGCCCCAAGUGAGGGAAGGCCAUCCAGGGCCUUCAGGGGGUGGGACAUCAAGUGGGAAGAAGGAGAGUCCAGGAGGUCCCUUGUAGGUCAUGUGUUUGGGGAAGCAGCAAGCUAUAGCAUGACUGAACCUCCACUUACCAGCUGCUGAACAGAGGUUGCAAUCCUGCAGCAUGAGUUCAAUUUGUUUUUAUGAUUCUGUUUUUUAAAAACCACCAUGAAAUUUCCAGGAUUUGUUUGGCUAUUAAAGUCCCAAUGUCCUGCUAGAACAUAGACUUUCUGAUAAAGAUGGGUGCUGAGUUGAGCAACUCAGCAAGGUAUCUGUUACACACUAACCACGCCAAAGAAAACAGAUAUUUGUUUGAAGCCAGCCAUAAGACUAUUUUGAGACCAUCCAUAUGGUCAAAAUUGCACCCUUGUAAUUGACAUUAAUUAAGCUCUCUUCUUGUGGUGGUUGUGUACCACUCAGGCAGAUUGGAAACCCCCACUUCAGUCAUCAGCAGACAUUGAAAGGGUGAGGAUAAUCCUCCCCAUUUCUUCUGAAUUCAAGAACAAUGUAGUAGAGUUAAAGGGUGCUAAGGGAUAAUGAAUCUGAUUUAAAUUAUCUUGCAUAGGCAUCCCUCAGCUAACAAAUGUCCAUUGAAGAAGCAAUGCAUUAAAAGGGGGAGUAAACUCUCUUGUCAGAGAAUGUGUGUUUGGGGCAUCAUCAGUCCUCAAGCAGCUGCCAGGUACUUCCUGCCAUUGACAGACCUGAAUGCAAAAUUCACCUCCAACCAUCACUUGCAGAAAGUUCCAAAGACUCUAGGAUCCAGCAUGCUCCCAAUAUAACUUCAGGGAUCUAGAGGCCUUUCUGGGUUUUUCAACACCAUUUCAGAAUCUGCUUUCUUCAAAUGGACUUCAAACCAGGGUUGCAAAAGACAGAACUUCCAAAUCUAAUAGACAUCAGCAGCAGUAAGACUUGACAAGAUUUAUUUUAUUAAAAUUAUAUCCUUCCCAAAGAGCUCAUAAUUUCUUCACUAGGGAAUGCAUUGUUUAAAAAUAAUCCCAGAACAUAUUCACUUGCUUUAAAGAGAAAGAAAAUGAAAUUUAAAAACUUCAUGCUGUGUUUUCUCUUACUUUUCUCCCUCUCCAUCUUUCCAGUUGUCUUUAACAAGAUUUCUUUAGACUUCACAAAGCAGGAUUGACCUCAAUGGCUGCGGACAUUGAUUUCAGCUGCAGAAAUUCUUUGCCAUUUGAAAAACAGAUUUGCCUAUGAAAACCACUAUAAAAGCAUGAAGAUUUUCAAGUGCACCAUUCUCAUUUGGUGUUUUCACAACCAUGAAGAUGCUUUCUCUCUUCUCGCCAACUCUUGGUUCAGGUAGAACCAAGAUACAAUCUGGGAAACUUCAGCACAUAAAGGUUCUGCCUGAAUCUGCUUUGCUAACAGGUACAAUAACCAUGCAUGGGUGAAUUCUACUCAGUGAUCGAUACCUAGGAAAGUUCAUUGAAACUUCUAUUUCCCUGAAUCAAUUGUAGUACCAGACUGGGAUAAUAAGUUUUUUAUUUAGAUUGAAAAAGUCACUACCAAACUUUUUAUCAAAGGCUUAAUAAUUUGCACCGGCCAGGCAUUUGGUGAUCUGAUAGACACAUAGAUCAUAGGAUUUUGGGACCAUUUUCAAGUUCUCAGGUAGCAGGACUGGGGAAAAUAUUUUUUUCUAUGCAAUAUGUAGGAGAACUGCUGCCACUUGGAGCAGAAAAUAAUAGGCUAGAUGGGACAAGGGUCUAUCUCAGUGAGCACUACUACUGCUUCCUGGAAUUGUCCUCUACACUCAAGGGAUAGCGCUUCUUCACACUGUGCAUGCUUAAACUAUGGAAUUCAAUUCCAUAAGAUGUGAUUAUAGCAGACAACUUAGAUUUGUUCUGAAGGAAAUUGGAUAAAUUCACAGAGGAUCAAUGGCCAUGAUGCCUUUCUGCUACCUCUAGCAUGCCUCUAAAUACCAGGUGCCGAGGAUCAUAGCGUUAUCAUUGGAUGCAUGUCCUGCUUGCGGACUUUCCAGGUGCAUCUAGACAGCCACUGUGGGAAACAAGUUACUGGGCUAGAAGGGCCUUUGGCCUGAUACAGCAGGACUCUCAUAUUCCAUGUUCUUGUCUACACUGUGUGUGUGUUUUUUAAAAAAGAGUUCUCCUGGUAACUUUGCUAUCCCAUUGAUGUUCUGGUGUCACUGUGCAAAAAAAAGGGGUGAGGAGAGGCUUUCAGUCAGAAAGCCAAUUAAAUUCCAAGCAGUAUGGAAAAGGAGGAAAAAAGGGAGCCCCAAAGACCAGCCAAGGAUGCCCCCUGUCUUGCAGAUCCUGAUAAGUCAGCUUGCUCAGCCCACACAGCCGAGGGUGGGAGAGGAGCAUUCAAGAUGGGAAGAAGCCUGGUUGGAAGGGACCAGCUGGCUUAAAUACCUAAUCUCUUCCUCUUCUCUGACAGCCAGGAUAAAUCCCACCCUCCUCUCUUUGGGAGCAAAUCUCUCAAGACUUAUUUUCCAUCAAGGUGUGGCAAAUGUGGCCCACUUUAUGGUAGGACUGACAUUCACAUACUAACUCAAAUACCACAAGGCCAUGUGCAUAUCAAGGUUCCUAUUCCUCCCUGCAGAACAGGGACUUAUUGUGGCAAGUACCAACGUUCACUUUUCCAACAUGUGGGAAAAAGAAGGACAGAACUGUGGGCACUGUCCUAGCUCUCAGACUUUAUGCAUUCAGCUGAUGAUCUCCAAGGAGCCUAUGGCUGGAUUCAGGCUAAACCUGCAGUCCUAAACUCAGUUACCUGGGAGUGAGUCCCAUUGAAUUCAACCGGACUUACUCCUGAGUAGACAUGGUUAGGAUUGCAGUUUACAUUAAUUGCACUUAUUUCCCAUUCAGUUCAAUGGGACUGAUGAAAUCAUGAAUAACUUUUCAUACUGAUUUAAAGGGAACCUAAAAGCACCUAAGUUUGGGUAGCCCUACAUGUGUAAGAUGGUCUUUGAGCAAUUGGGAGCCUCCCAAAAACCCGAGUUCUUGGUUAUAUGGAGAGAUUUGCAUAAAGUUGUAGGUAUAUGAACAUGAAGUAUAUGAAUUCUUCCUUGACUGGGUGGAGAUUGGAAGCAGGGGCCUUCGAGAAUCUGAGCUGGCCCAAGAUGUUUGCUGCCUGAGGUGGACCACCAGGCUGGCAACAACACAACAUCCUCCCUGCCACCUCAUUUAUUAUGAAGUUCUAGACUGUUUUUUAAUAAAAUUGAAAUAGGAACAUAAAUAGUGUAUCAAAAAUGAAUUACCAUACAAAAGAUGUGUGGGGUUUUUAAUCAGGGUCAUGCUGCUGAGAGCAGUUGUGAUGGAAGAAUAGGGGAUUUGUUGCGUACAAAAACAAUGUUUUAUCUUGCUUAUGUAUUUCUCUACCUACAAUAUCCAAUAGGAAGUCUUCCGGUUUCUUUAAAAAAUGUAUAUUUCAACAUUUUUAAAACUUCAUUAUAUAUCAUUUCCCAGAAAGCCUUCACUUUCAUACAAAUGAAAAAGAGGUACCCUCUUUUUCUUUAAAUUUCCAACAUUGAUUAUUUAGUCUGUACAUUUUUGCUAACUUCACUGGUGUUAUAUUCCAUCUAUACAUCAUUUUCAUUACAUUUUCUUUAAGCGAACUGCAAGCUGUAAAAUUUAUUCCAUCUUUCAGAAGUUUUCCCCAAUCCUCUAAUUGUAUAUUAUAACCAAUAUCCUUUGCCCAAUGUAUCAUACCUCAUAUAUCAUUGUUUAACUUCCUCAUCUUUCACAUGCCAUUCUAAAAGUACUUUAUACAUUUUUGACAAUAUUUUAAUUUUAGAACUCAACAAAUUUACUUCAAACCUGGAUUUUGUAUAUUCAAAUCCAUUGUUUUUCUUAUCUUCUUUAAAUAUUCCAUUUAUUUGACAAUAAUGCAACCAAUCUUUCACUAAGCUUUAAAUUUCUUCAUAAGGUUUUAAUUUCCACUGAUUAUCUAUUUCGGUCACCAAAUCUUCAUAGGUAGCCCAGUUUCCUUCCAUAUUUAACUUUUUUACACUUGUAGCCUCCAAUGGCAAUAGCCACCAUGUUUUUGUAUGCAACAAUUGCAGCAAGAAUAUUAUUGGCCCAAAAAUGGAAACAGGAAGAGAUCCCAACAAAAGAAGAGUGGCAGAUGAAGUGACUGGACUAUGCCGAGUUGGUGAAACUAACUGGGAAAAUUCGGAACCUGCAGGACCAGACCUUUUUGAAAGACAGGAAUAAAUUUACAUUGUAUUUGAGAGACAAUUAUAAACAACUGACAUCGUUAGUAGAGCUACAAGAAGUUUUGUAAGGUUAGAGAUAUCAAUUAUCAUUAAUAUGAUGUUUAAAUGGUGUAUUUAAGAUUUGGAUUUAAGGGUAAUAAUAAUAAUAACAAAAUGCAAUAUCAGAGUAUAAUUAGGAAAACCAUUAGUUGAGGAAGAGGGAAGUCUCAGGCCAAGAUGGCCAAGUGGUUUUUAUAUAUUAUAUGUAAGAAGGAUGUUUUGUCAAUUUUUAAAAAUAAGGUUUAAUAAAAAUUAUAUAUAAAAAGGAAGAAUAGGGGGUUUGGCAAAUUGUCUAUUGUGUCCUUUUAAAUAAGGUGUCCCAAGAAAUUGACAUUACACACUGCCAUUCUGAUGCAAGGUUAAAAAAUUGGGCAUAUAUUAUCCUCCCCCCCUCCAAAGUGCACACUGAGAUACAGCUGACAAUUGACCAAUUUUCAUUUGAAAGGGGCUGGGGGAUCAGUGUUUAUGCAGUGCUGUUCAUAAGAUAUUUUUUCUUGAAAGGAUGAAAAGAAAUCAAUGCCCUUCUGAAAUUACUUUUUGCAGAAUUGCAAGAAAGUUGAGUGAUUAGAGUAAUCAUAUGCAAUAAGUUACCCUAUAUUAACAUGCAAAUUAAAUUCAAGAAGUUCAUCCUUUUCUUAAAUUUACCAUUUGGAGCUGAAAGACAAGCCUUGUUACUCAUAUUUGAGCAGAUCCAGUUGUGUGGCCGUCUAUACAAACCUGUCUCUCUCUCUCACACACACACACACACCAUCACCAAGCCAAUCCCAGCUGUGGUGAUUCUUUUGUAAUCUACACCCAUGAAGCCACAGGGUAUGCAAGCCUGGAAGUCACUGGAAAGCAGUUUCCACAUUGCUGCUACCAUUUAUAAAUGGAUAAUUUCUUGUUCUUCAACCAAUACUGGACUCCAGCUCCCAUCAUCCCUGACUGUUGAUCAAGCUGGCUGGGUCUGAGGAAAGACAGAGUCCAAGAGCAGGUGGCGAGCCACAAGUCAAGACUUCCUUGCAAAUGGGAUCGUCCUCAGAAGGCGGUCCUUCUUGCAACUGGGCCCCUGGACACACCCCUGACUAAGUGGGUUUCGUUUCUAGGUCUAAGUUUCAUUUCUCUAAAUAGGCAUCACGGGUUACAGCCAAUCAGGAAAGGGGUGGGGGUGGUUAAGGAAUUAUAUAAGCAUCAGCGCAAGAGUGCCCUAGACACUUGAUUGGUGCUGCUGAACACCCGCUCUCCCGCCCUUAGUGUAGGUUCUUGGCCUUGCUUUGGACUAUGUGUGAGCUGCCUGUCUUGGGACAGGGACUGCGUAGGAAUUUUUAUCCAUUUGGCAAAUUGGCACUGGCCACUUGGUUUUUUGCCUACCCCCUUAGCAAUCAUCACAACUUUCAAGGUUUGGUGGUUAGGCAUUGGCUUAAUUUUGUGUGUGGAGGGGAGGUGUGACCAUCACCUGCCCCUCAGUGAUCAAAAGGUAUUCCGUUAAAGGAAUCUGGUGGUACCGGAUGAAGUCCGCUUGAUGGGCUAGGGCCAUGCCGGGAUCACAGGAACCUUGCAGUAAGCUUCUGUCAGGCAAAACCCCAAUGUUGCUGCCCCAUAGACUCUGUCAACUGGGGCAGUAGUCCAUUACAGUCUUCAGCCAAUGCCUAUGCCAAGACCACUCACAUUUAAUUUGCAAUCAAUAAAAUUGUGGCCUUAAUGUUACCCAUCAACCUUAAUUCUCUGUCUGUGUGUAGUUAUUUCAUGGGGGGUGGCUUGGGGCCUCAAGACGCGAAUCCAUUGGUUGAAAACCAGCUAAGGUCCUGCAUAGAGACCCAGGUGAGUGUAGUGUUUGGAGCAUCAGACUAGGACCUCGGAGAUGGGAGUUCAAAUCCCCACUUGGCCAUGAAGCUCACUGGGUGACCUUGGGCCAGUUACUCACUCUCAGCCUAACCUACCUCACAAGGUUGCUGUGGGGAUUAAAUGAGAAUCAUAGAAUCAUAGAGUUGGAAGAGACCACAAGGGCCAUCGAGUCCAACCCCCUGCCAAGCAGGAAACACCAUCAGAGCACUCCUGACAUAUGGUUGUCAAGCUUCUGCUUAAAGACCUCCAAAGAAGGAGACUCCACCACACUCCUUGGCAGCAAAUUCCACUGUCGAACAGCUCUUACUGUCAGGAAGUUCUUCCUAAUGUUUAGGUGGAAUCUUCUUUCUUGUAGUUUGGAUCCAUUGUUCCGUGUCCGCUUCUCUGGAGCAGCAGAAAACAACCUUUCUCCCUCCUCUAUGUGACAUCCUUUUAUAUAUUUGAACAUGGCUAUCAUAUCACCCCUUAACCUCCUCUUCUCCAGGCUAAACAUGCCCAGCUCCCUUAGCCGUUCCUCAUAAGGCAUCGUUUCCAGGCCUUUGACCAUUUUGGCUGCCCUCCUCUGGACACGUUUCAGUUUGUCAGUGUCCUUCUUGAACUGUGGUGCCCAGAACUGGACACAGUACUCCAGGUGAGGUCUGACCAGAGCAGAAUACAGUGGCACUAUUACUUCCCUUGAUCUAGAUGCUAUACUCCUAUUGAUGCAGCCCAGAAUUGCAUUGGCUUUUUUAGCUGCCGCGUCACACUGUUGGCUCAUGUCAAGUUUGUGGUCAACCAAGACUCCUAGAUCCUUUUCACAUGUAUUGCUCUCAAGCCAGGUGUCACCCAUCUUGUAUUUGUGCCUCUCAUUCUUUUUGCCCAAGUGCAAUACUUUACAUUUCUCCCUGUUAAAAUUCAUCUUAUUUGUUUUGGCCCAGUUCUCUAAUCUGUCAAGGUUGUUUUGAAGUGUGAUCCUGUCCUCUGGGGUGUUAGCCACCCCUCCCAGUUUGGUGUCAUCUGCAAAUUUGAUCAGGAUGCCCUUGAGUCCAUCAUCCAAGCUCGUUGAUAAAGAUGUUGAAUAAGACCGGGCCCAAGACAGAACCCUGUGGCACCCCACUAGUCACUCUUCUCCAGGAUGAAGAGGAACCAUUGAUGAGCACCCUUUGGGUUCGGUCAGUCAGCCAGUUACAAAUCCACUGAGUGGUAGCAUAGUCAAGACCACAAUUUACCAGCUUCUUUACAAGAAUAUCAUGGGGCA